rnacentral:lncRNA from 1 species
CGACGAUCGGUUAUGGAGCAUUUGGAGGCGGCAACCUUCCUAGGGUUAUAGGUUAGAGAUGAAGGAUUGAGAGAGCGGGGAUUCUGAAGGGGUGGGGUUGUCUUAGGACAGUUAUAUGGGGAGCCAAGACUAGUUCUGUAUCAUCCGAUAGAACGAAAUCAAUGAUGAAGGGGGUGAGGACGACGUCGUUAGGCUAAUCUGGAGACCUGGACCGGGUUAGGGGCUGAGUAUGGGCUGGUUGGGGCGGGUAUUAAUUGGGCUUGGGGUGGUGUUUGGCCCAAAUUUGGGUUUAAAAUUAGGACCCAAUUUCUUUGUUUUCUUUUAUUUAUUUGUUUAUUUUUUUAUUUUAUUAAGUCUAAAAUUCAUAAUUAAAUUAAUAAAACAUAGAUUAUCUUAAAAAAACUAAUUAAACUUAAACAAUUAUCAGAAUUAAUAAAUACAAAAAAACUAACUCAAAAAUCUAAAAAUAAAAAUUAAAUGGUGCAAGAUGACUUUUUUUUCAUUUUUCACUUUGUAAAAAUAGCCUAAUCACUAAUUUAUUUCAAAGAUGCAAAGUUAACUCCUAAAUGCAUAUGCAACAUAUAUUUUUUGUAUUUUCCAUUAACUAAAAAUGCACAAACAAAUACAACAAUCAACAAAUAAUGCCACGAAAAUUCACAAAAUUGCAAAUAAGUUUUGCAACUAUGAGAGUAAUUCCUAUAUGGCAAAAAUCACGUGCUCACAUGACAUACCGAGAGAUUUUAUUAACGAAUUCCAUAUGCAUUUCAUGUAUUUGUACAUACACAUUGAUCCAUGACUAUAUAGAGUUAUAUAUGAAUGUAUGUAUAUAUAUAUAUGUGUGUGUGUGUGUGUGUAUAUACAUACAUAUAUAUAUAUAUACAUAUGUAUAUAUAUAUAUCUAUAUAUAUAUAUAUAUAUGUAUGUAUAUAUAUAUGUAUAUAUAUAUAUGUAUGUAUAUAUAUANNNNNNNNNNNNNNNNNNNNNNNNNNNNNNNNNNNNNNNNNNNNNNNNNNNNNNNNNNNNNNNNNNNNNNNNNNNNNNNNNNNNNNNNNNNNNNNNNNNNNNNNNNNNNNNNNNNNNNNNNNNNNNNNNNNNNNNNNNNNNNNNNNNNNNNNNNNNNNNNNNNNNNNNNNNNNNNNNNNNNNNNNNNNNNNNNNNNNNNNNNNNNNNNNNNNNNNNNNNNNNNNNNNNNNNNNNNNNNNNNNNNNNNNNNNNNNNNNNNNNNNNNNNNNNNNNNNNNNNNNNNNNNNNNNNNNNNNNNNNNNNNNNNNNNNNNNNNNNNNNNNNNNNNNNNNNNNNNNNNNNNNNNNNUAUAUAUAUAUAUAUAUACAUACAUAUAUAUAUACAUACAUAUAUAUAUACAUACAUAUAUAUAUACAUACAUAUAUAUAUAUACAUACAUAUAUAUAUGGGAUAUGGGAACUCAUACGUAUGACACUACAAGUAUUUCAUGUUUAAAGAGAUAUCCAGACUUACAGGGUGAAUCAUUUUCUCUAUAUUUCUUCCAUAUCUUUUAUGUACUUGUUUAUGUGCCUUACAUACUCGGUACAUUAUUCUUACUGAUAUACCUUUUGCCUGGGGACACUGCAUUUCAUGCCCCCAGGUCCCGAUAGACAGGUCGAGAGUCCUCCAAAUAGGCUAUCAGCUCAGCAGAAGAUGUUGAUGCACUCUAUUUGCUUUGGAGUUUCUUGUUUAGUCAGUAUCAUUUAGACGUGUGUAUUAUUUGGUAUGGCUGAGCCCUGUCCCGACCUUUAUGUUAAAUGUGUACUCUUAGAAGCUUGUAGACAGAUGCCAUGUAUAUGAAUGCUUUUAUGGCCUUUCCGACCUAUGUUUUGAGUUUACAAAUGAUCAUGUUGGCCUUAUAGGCUUGUAUGUCACACGCAUAAGUUUUUAUAUCAAGUUGGGCCGUCCUAUAUUGAGUAUUCCCCUAUGUUUAUUCCGGUUAGCUCAUGACGCCCCCUUUGGUCCUUUUUUCCAUGAAAGUAGAAUAAGAAAGAUAUGUUAUGUUAGUACUCGGUUAAGUAAGGUACUGGGUGCUUGUUGCGGCUUAUAGGUUUGGUUCGUGAGAGAUAGCUACCUUGGUGAGAUUCAUUUCGAUGUCAUCAGAUCGAAGCCACAGGUUCUUUUUUUUACUCAAAAAAAAAUGAUCUUGCAUGGACCUUGGAAUGUCAUCAAGCACCGGAGGUAUUGAAGUGAUAUUUAUCAAGCCCACCUCUGCUCCACACUCUGAAGGCAGAAAAGAAGUAAUACUUAUACUUGGUGUGUCUGAAAUAGUAGUAAGUGGUGUACUAGUUCGAGAAGAGCAAGGUAUGCAGUUUCUUGUUUAUUACGUAAGUCGAACCUUAGGAGAUGCUAAAACUAGGUAUCUGUAGACAUGUAAUUUUUGACUCCUUUAUACAUUUUAAUAUUAAAUAAUUAGUUUAGGUCUAAUAUUGCUACUUUAAUUAAUUUUGACGCUUUUACUUUAUUUUAUCACAAAAAUAAAAAUUACAAAAAAAAUCUUUUAUUUAGCUAAUUAAUAUUUUAUCUAGUUACUUUUAAUUUAUCUAUCUUACAUAAAAUUCAAAAAUACAAAACAAAUAGCUUCACUUUGUUUUAUGAAUAUUAUUUUAAUUUUACAAUGAUUUUUCAUCUUUAUCUUUUAGUAUGAUAUUUGAAAAAUACCAAAAAUAGGUUUAUUUUAAAGGUUAUUUUAAAUUUACUAGUUAUUUUACUUAAGUAGGAUUAGUUAAUAAUUGGGUAGUAUUUUUAGUCUUGUGCAAGAGGAUAGAAUUAAUUUGGGCCCAAAUAACCCGUUUUUAAUCUCAAUUUUGGAUAGCCUAAAAUAUCCAAUCUCAUACCCACUACUCAUUUGACCUAACCUAAUUCAUAUUCCCUAGAAAAUCUCACUCUCAUGGAAAAGGGGAAGAGCCAUGGCUAAUCUCAAAAAUGAAAAAUACUCCAAAACAAAAAUGGCUUAUUCCUUUUCAAUUAGUUCCAUAAAUCCUAAUACCAAACACCACAACCACGAGUAACAAAAAGAGGUCUCUCACUUAUACCACACAUUACCUACUGUUAAACCACAGAAAUGUCAUGUUAUACUCCAAUUUACAUGGAAUUAUUUAGAGUUUUGAUUUGAUUUUUUUCCUCCUAAUAUAUCAAAAUAAAGAUGUGUUCAUGUCGAAAUUCCAUUAUGUUUUGCCACAAAUGUGCCUUGAUUUUGCGUAAGAAUCCGUUGUUGCUUUAUUUCCCCUAUUGUCAAGGUCUUUGUAGAAAUGCAAAAUUCCGAUCUGUUCUCAAUCAUAUUGUUUCGAAAUUCGCCGUUUCCUCUUCGUUGAGCUCUAUUGUGACUUCCAGCAACGCGAUUCUCCUUUUCUCCUUCACCUUCUAUUUUGUUUUUUGAAAAUUCGGCAACCCUCCAUUAAUCCGGCAAAACAGAGUUCAAACCUAACAGUAAACCUAGCUCCAAAAACUCCCUGAACCACCCCAAAUCAGUGUGAAAAUCAACGCGAAAUCGUCGAACUCAUUCGAUUUGAAUCGUUCGAGAUUCCGUUAUUGGAUCGAGGCUCAGGUCGUUAGCUCAUUUUGGUUUGCUGCGUCGAAGACUUUCUUUCAUUAUAUACGUUGAAUAAUAUGCAGCAAAAAAGGUCCACCUCUUUUCCAUAUCUAUUACUCCUUUUUAUCUUAUACAUAUGUGAUGUUUGGAUUAGUGUGAUUUGGUAAAUAUUUUGAUGUUUAGCCACCAUGUGGAGUUUAGUUGUUUGAAUUGAAUGGAUGGUCUGUUAUUAUUUGGGCAGAAUUUCAUUGAUUAACAAAAGCAACAACAUAUUCUUCAUUUUGUUGGAUUUUUCUUUACUCAGAACUUAACACAUUAGAAAGUUAAAUUGAUAUUUCAAUGUCAUAUAAACUGUUUACAAUUUAACUUGUGCUAAAAUUUGUUAAUCUUGGUUUAUAUUAAAAAGGGAUUCGACUACGGGUUGUAAGUGAAUUUUGGCAUGCUGUGUGCUUUGAGAUGGGGUUGGAAAUAAUUUUGUUGUUCUCUAUUCUUACUCUUAUUAAUUGGGCAAUUAGGAGCAUGAUUAUGUCGGCCACGCGUGGGUAGGGAAACUUUUAGGUGCGCAAUAAAUCAUUGUGACUACGGGUACGGCUCCCGUGACGUGGUUGUGAUGCAUAAAUUUCAAAUUAAGGGGUACAUUUAUUUGACCAGGCGAAAAAUUCUAGUUUUUCGUUAAUAAAUUGAACAUGUUGUAGAUCGUGGGUACGGUUACCGUGACACGAUUCACAAUGUGUACCAAACAAAUAAGUAUAUGACAAUCGUAAUUUGUUAAAAGCGAUUAAAAAGAAUAAAAUGCACAUAGGUUCUAAAUAUGUAUUAAUCAGAUAAUUAAGUCAAUUAUUAAUAGUCGAGCGACCGUGUUAAAAUCAUGGAAGCCGAGAAUGCCUAACACCUUCUCUCGGGUUAACAUAAUUUCUUAUCCAGUUUUUUGUAUUUUGCGGACCAUAAUUAAGAGUCAAACUUCCUCGAUUCGGGAUUUUAAAUCAGUAACUUGGGACAUCAUAAAUUAUUCAAAGUGUCGACUGUGAUUUUGGAUAAAUAAUCCUGUUUCAAUCAUUCUCACUUUAAUUAGAAAAAACUCUCUUAUAUUCUUUUUCGGUCAAAAAAGGGUGUGACAGCUCUGUCGACUCUGCUGGGGACAGAACCCAUAACUUCUGAUUUGGGGGUCAAGAAUUCAAGCUUAGAAUAACUGUUAUAUUUUAAUUUAUUAUCUAAUUUUUACGUGUUUGAGCCCGAUGUGCCAAUUGUCCCUUUUUACCAUUUUGAUAUUUUGUGAAUUGUGUAUAAACUGUUAUGAAACCUUCUUCUCUCUGAGUCUUCUAAAUCUUCUUAGAAGUGCACGCUUGUGUGGCUUCUUUUCUAUUUGUACAAUAUCCUUAAUUUAAAACAAAGUUCGAGCAAGUUGCAAAUCCCAAUGAUCUUUUGGUUAUCGGUACGCUGCCCCUCAUCGACUCGAGUUGUCUGCUCGGGUAAGCUAGGUCUAGAACAAUAUACCAUGUUUUAAACCUAGAAUAACAUAGUCUCCGGAUCCCUAAUAGGAACGCUUGUUUGAAUCACGUGCAUUUGACGUUAGGGAUUCAACAUCGGGGUUGGGUCCGUCUAGGGCAGGUGUAUCCUAAUUAAAGACUAUCCUGAUGCAUCUUACAUGCUACUUGAUAGUUUGUCUAUUUCAGCUUGAACGUUGACUGGCUUCUAGAAUAUGGAAAUAAAAUUUUAAAAAAAAGGAAAAGAAAAAAAAAGAAAAAGAAAAGAGAGUGAGUGGUAAGUAUUUGAAUUAUCCCGAAACUCUGCCAAGAUUUUGAAAAAGAAGAAGAGGAAAAGUCAAUAAUGACCCCACUAGUCGUUUUGCUUUUUAGAACCCCGUCCCACUAAAGAAUACUUCUCGUGCUUGCCUUAUCUGAUAUAUGACCUGUGGGGAUAGUUGGUUCCGGAUUUGGAAGAGUUUGGGUUGAAAUAGAAUCACUUGAUUCCUUUAGAUUUUCUUGAAAGGAUAAGUUUGACUUUAGUCAUUGUUUUUAGCAAACAGAUCCCGAUAUAUUUUUGACGGUCUCAGAGGAUUCGUAGGAAAAUAUAGGACCAGGGCAUAUGCUCGGAAUCGAAUUCCGAUGUCCCUACCCUGAGUAAUGAUUUUUAUUAGAAAUUAUUAAACUGAAGUUUUUAGGAUUUAAAGAAAUUAAUUAAUGAUUGAUCAUGUUAGUAUUGGGACCGUAUGUUUGUUAUGGUUCCUGGUACAGGUCCUUUAUAACAUUUAAGACUUGCCCGCAAAAGUUGGUGUCAAUCCUAGUAGUAUAAGUAUGUUUUGGCAUGUUAGAAGUGAAUUGAAGAACUUGAAGUUCAUAAGUUUGAUUCAAUUGGUAUUAGGGGUGAUUUUUAGAUCUAGCUUUGUUUCUGGCAUUCCGAAGGUUGAGUGGCUCCGUGUCAUGAUUUCAAACUUGUCGGUAUGUUUGGGUACGUCCUGAAAUCCCGGAGCGUCAAUCGAAUGAGGCUCGAGUAAAGUUGGAAAAUUUGAGAAGAGUUGAAGCUUCAGGUUACUGCCAUAACUGCACAUGCGGUUGGUCAGCCAUAGGUGCGAGACCGCAGAAGCGGUCAUCCUCUCGUUAAUGCAGCCAAGCGAAAGUCGCUAAAGUGGCUCCUUAGCCGUAGAAGUAGUCACAUCUCCUUUGGCCAAAUCUGCAGAUACGCCCUUCCUCUCGCACAAGCGGGACCGCAAAUGAAUCCCCCUAAGCGUAGAGGCAGAAACUACUAAAGUUGAGAGCUUCGUUUAAUACGGGUUCUAUGCCAUUUUGGCCAUUUUUCACUCACCCCUUGGUUGAUUUUGAACCUCUUAAGAGAAGACUUUCACCUAGCAUCUUGAGGUAAGUUUAUCCGACCUAUUUCUAGUUUAAUUCGUGAUUCUUGGGUAAAUUAACACACAAAUAUUAUGGUAAAAUCAUGGGGAUAGAGCAAAACUUAGGGUUUCGAUAAAAUAUAGAUUUAACCAUGAAAUAUGUUAGGAAAUGAAUUGGAAAUCAUAUAUUAUUUAUCCUUAGGUUAUAAAGAACAAGUCCCUUCAAAAAAUUUCAGAAUCCGGGAACGUGGCCCAGGGUCGAAUUUUAGGAAGCUUGUGUUUAAGGUUGGAAAAUUGCUUUAAUAGUUACAACGUGAUCCAGUGAGCAUAUAUUGACUAGUUCCUACCUCAUUUAAUUAGUUUUGGAUCGGUCAACUCCAAAUUGAGGGUUGAGCACGUUCUUGGUGUUAGAAGUACCCUUUGGAGCGAGGUAAGUCUCCUUUAUAACCUUGUGAGAGGGAAUUGCCCCCAUAGGUGUAAUAAUUGAAUAAAUUGUCACUAAAUGCGGGGGCUACAUAUGCACUAGGUGAUGAGAGUCCGUGCAUAGCUACUGCUAUGUUAAUUGUCAAGGUAGUUUAGGAUCUGCAUCAUGUCAUACUUGCGAAUGUCUAUAUAUUUUCUUGCUAAUGUGAUCGUCUAAGAUAUGAUAGCGAAUUGGGAAGGAAAAUAAGUGAACGUAUGUACUUGUUGAACACUUGUAUGAAUUUAUUUGAAUAUAAAUACACCUUCAUGUAUUUUCCUGUUGAUAAUUGAUAUUUGUGGAUCGGGCCGAUCGCCUCGGUAGAAAUAGAUGCAUCUAUGACUCACGUCAUUCGACCCUCUGGCAGUGCACACUUUUUUUUUCUGUUGGAUCGGUCUGUCGACCUCGGCAUAGUAUGCGCAGGAUAUUUUUGUGAAUUGUUUUUGAUGACUUACUUGGUAAAUGUUAUGAAAUGCAAAUGGAUAACAUUGAUAUCAUCAAGGAAAUAACAUUGGUAAUCCUUAUUACAAUUGUUAUAUAUUUGUGACCUUCAUGCUUAACAUUGCACCAUAUUAUAUUAUUUGACCUAGUAAAUAUCAAGUCGACGUCUCGUCUCUACUUCUUCAAGAUUAAACGGGAUACUUAUUGGGUACAUAUUGUUUAUGUACGCAUACUAUUCUUCUAUACUUAAUUGUGUCACACCCCCUUUUUGGUUAUCCACAACCUGGCGAAGGGCAUAGAUAAAGGGAGUUUUUCCAAUUAAAGGAUAAUCGAAACGGGAUUUAAUUAUUUAAAAGAAUUUCAAAGUCGCCACUUGGGAGAUUAAUGGUGUCCCAAGUCACCGUAUAGAAUCCCGAAUCGAGGAAAGGAUGACUCUGUUUAACAGUCCGCGAACCAGAAAUUCAGGUAAGGAAUUCUGUUAACCUGGGAGAAAGUGUUAGGCAUUCCCAGGUUCUGUGGUUCUAGUAGGUCGCUCAAUUGUUAUAUUUGGCUAAGAUUAUCUGAUUUUAUACAAUUAUGAACCUAUGUGAAUUUUGAAUCUUUUAACCACUUUUUAAAUUAUUUUUAAAGAGAAUUGCAGCAUCGUUAAAAUAUGCCUCGAACUACGUCACAUAAAUGCACCCGUGGAUUUUGACAUAUUUCAACUUCGUUGAGAGUUGGAUUUGGGUCACAUAAAUGUGCACCCAUGUUUAAGGUUAUAAAAUUAUUAACGACGUGCCUAAAAGCGACUAACGUGUCAUUAUAUUUAUGGGAGGGCCAUGAAAUUCGCUAAACGGCGCAUCCCGAAUUCGCUAAAUAUUUUAUUAAGCAUUUUACGAGGACCAUGCGGGUUAUGGGUUUCGUGUAGCAUGACACACCUCGUUCUUAUUAUAAAAGGCCAAUCCUAAAUUGAGCUACUACCGUUUCUUAUCAAAUUCAUACAUUAUUCAAAAGAUCACGAUUCCUGAAAUAGUCUAUUAUGCAGUUUCUAAUUUUGUUUGACUAUACUUCAAAACAUGGGCCUAACUAGAAGCCCAAGACCUCAUUCUUCCCAAGAAAAGACUACAUGGGCUUACAGUAGGUGACAAUGACCCAAAUGAACUGUUAAGCCUAUACGAGACCUGUUGGGCUCAUAGAUAAGCCCAAACUUCAAUUCAAGGUUUUCUAGAAAAACAAAAUACAAGUGACUGGUUUUGACCCUAACAUUUAAACUCUGAAGUUCACCUAAGCUAAUUACGAUAACCAUAGAACUACAAGUAGCGUAAAUGAAAAUCCGUUUGAAAUGCAUAAUCAUGGGAGUUCAUUUUUAAAAGUAAACACAUAAAAACCAAUUUCAACUAGAAAACUAAGUGUAUGGUUAUAUACAGUCCGUUCAAGUCAGAAUAAUAUUCAAAAUAUACCAUAGGCAUCCAGUACAAAUCAUUAUGCGAAAAAUAAAACCACAGUCAUUCUUAUUCCUUCCUGGAUCUAGACAUCUGAGUCCUCAAUUCAUAAGCACACAUUUAAUUCAUAAACAUCAAAUGGUAGGUUUAUUGGACUUUGGCCAUUAUGAAUGAAUAAAAUACCUAGAAAUGAGAUCAACAGAUGAAGACUAAGGGUUCGCACUGAGCAACAGAGCAAUCAGCAAGCAAAUGAAUAGCCGUACAACAAGGAAACUAAUCUAAAGCCUAAAUUUUAACCCAAGACCAAAUUUUAACCACAACAAAUUUCAAGUGACCCCAAAUGACCUGCAAUCAAACCCGGGGACUCCAGGAAACAAUUAAAAACCAAGCAAACGAUGCAAGUCCUAGAACUAAACCUAACUAGACCCUGAAAACAACUGGCUUUCCAAUGUAACAGUGUAUUUUUAAAUUCCUCUCGAUUUGUAAGGCUCUAAUACCUAGGUUUUGAAGGAAAUGGCUCUUAAAUGUUAAAACUAAACUAACAUUUUUGACUCUUGCUUUGAAUUGGGUCAUAAUUUGCAGAAAUUGGAGGAUUUUCUUUUGACUAUUGCUAGGAAUGUUUCUUGGAUUUUCAGACUGUCUAACCUCUUUUUUUGAAUGAUUUGGGGUCAUUUUUAUAGCCAAAGGCUAAGGAACCCUUUAUUUUGUUUUUCAACUAAAGGUCCCCCUUUCAAUUUCCAAAGUUUACCUACUUGGACCCUUAUUUUUUGACUUGUUUCUCAAGUUACUGCAAUAAAACUACUGAUUUUAGAUGAAAGACCCAUUCUAGAAGGGUCUAAAGGCUUCUAGCAUUGUCUUCCAUUUAUAGGCUACCUAUAUUACCUUUAUUUUGUCCCUAACCAAAGCCAGGUUAACAACUCUAUAUUACCCUACUUUAUUAUGAAAAUUACCAAAACUAAACUAAAAUUCUAUAUUACCCGUAUUUUAUGCUAAAAUUAUCAGAACUAGGUUGAAAACCAUAUAUUACCCUUUUGAUGCUAAAAUUACUGUUUUGCUAUCUUGUAACUAAUUACUAAACUACAAACAGCUAUAGUCAAUCCUGAUGCUAUUGAGCUAUUAAUCAAGAACAAUUGCCAUCAAUUCUCAUAAAUCAAAAUACAAUUGAAUCAAAAUCAAGUCCAAUACUCAAAAUUAAAAGAAGAACAUGGAAGGCUACAACUAUCAAAACUCACACUCAGAAAUCAAUACUCCAAACCAUAUGAACCAUUAAUCAACACUCAAACUCAGAAAUCAGGAAAUUAUUGAAAUCAAAGAACAAACAUGGAGGUUGUUAUGUUGGAUUAAUAAUUAAAAGCAAACCGAACAAUCAUGACUACUUCCUAAUUGCAUGUGAACUAUUAACCAACACUGUAAACUCAGAAAUCAACACUCCAAACCAUAUGCACCAUUAAUCGAAACUCAAAAAUCAAGAAAUUAUUGAAAUUAAAGAACAAACAUGGAGGCUGUUAUGCUAGAUUAGUAACUAAAAGCAAACUAAAUAAUCAUAAACUUCCUAGUUGCAUGUGAACUAUUAAACAAUACUCAAACUCAAAAGUCAAGAACACUACAGAAAUUAAAGAAAACAUGCUAGACUUCAAAAUUAAACCUAAAAGUAUAUAUUGCAAGACAAAUCAGAAACUACUAAUUUAAAACUCACAAUAGACAUGUUCUAGAUUCCUAGGACUAAUAAUUAAGUCAUGGGGUCAUUCACACAGUCACCAAAAUAGAAAUAGCAAAAGGAAAGGCAAACUUACCGAUCUUUCUUCAGUUAAACUUAGUUGAAUGCAAUUUAAGCCUCCAAGCAGAGUCGCAGGUUUGUUUUUUUGGCCAAAACAAACGUGUGGCUCCAUUUCGAAACUCAAAUGGUCUUCCAAAGGUCAAUCUCAGAGCUAAGUCAUGGCUGGUUUCAAAAUUGGAGGGGUCUGGGGUUAUUAAAAAAGGCAUGGGUGUGUCUUUGGGUAGAGUAGGGCUAGAUGAGUGGGUGGUUGUGAUUUGGAGGCCAUAGGAGCCGGGUCACCAUCGUGCAUGGCGGAGCUGCCCACUUCUAAUGAACAUUCGAAGGGCUAGGGUUAUGUUCAAAGGUGACUGAUUGUAGGGUUAGAAAGAGGGAAGCGAGGGGAGUGUAGGGUGUAACUUUGGGAGCCGUUGGCCACUAGGCACCGCCGUGGACGGCGGAGCUGCUAGGUUUUGAAUGGAUAUUCGACAAGUUGGGGUGGGUUUCGAAGGGCGAUCUUAUGAGGGUUGGGAAGCGGAGACGACGGUGAUUCCGGGGUGUAAUUUGGGAGGUCAUUGGAGUUAUGCCGCCGCCGCCGGCGAUUUCCAGGCAGCAGCGGACGGUGGUGGUACGGUGGAUUGGCGGCAGCGUUACACUGGUGUGUAGUUGGUACGAGGAGGGUAGGGAUUCUCUCUAGGGCAGUGAAUAUAUUCAGAUAAUCUUAUUAGUGUGUGAGGUUCAAGCUGAGCCGUUGGAUCCAAGGGCAUGGACGAUUGAGAUUAGCGGACAUCAAACGAUUUUAUUUUGGCCUUCCUGUUAUUGGACUGGGCAGGAACCAUUGAGUUUGGGUCUAUUUGAUGGGCCUGGUAGUGUUGGGCUCCAAAGAUGUAGCCCAAAUAUGGUCUUAUACAAGACCCAAGUUAGACAAUAAUUUGUUCUCUUUUUUUAUUGUAUUUUUCCAUAUAUAUAUAUAUAUAUAUAUAUAUAUAUAUAUAUAUAUAUAUAUAGAGUAAACAUAAACCAAAAUAUAUUUAAAUUCUGCAAAAUAAACAAAAUAAAACCUCUUAAAAUAACCCAAAUUCUAAAAUUCAAAAGAAAAUUAAAAAAAUGUAGGUGUAACCGAUUUUAUUAUUUUCAUCAUUGUCAAUAUUAACUAAUCAUGAUAAAAUUAAAUCCUAAAGGCAACUGUUCCAUUUUAUAUUUUUCAUGAAUUAUGCAAAUAAAAACAUGCAAUAUGCAAUUAAGCACAUGCAAUUAGCUCCUAAAAUUCAAACAAACGCAAAAUCACACAAAUAAAUACAAAAUCACACAAUUAAUUCCUAAAAAUACAAAUAAUAAAAGAAAAAUCCUAAUUUAAUGAGUUAUAUAGGAAUAUGUCACACAUGGCAAAACUCACGUGCUCACAGCUGCCCAUCUUUGCUUGGAGACACGAAGGGUUUCAGGGCAAACUCCUUGUGGCUUCGUUGACUGCUUGCCUUUUCUUUCUUCAUGUUUGAUUCCAAAUUAUUGGACUUGACAUGUAUUCCCUUGUUUUGCAGGUGGGUGCUUGAUUACAAAACUUGAAACUUGAAAGCAUUCCCUCGUUCUGCAGGUGGGCGCCUGAUCGCCUAGACUUGACUUUUGAAAAAUAGUCCCUUGUUUUCCAGGUGGGCGCCUGAUUGCCAAAGCCUAAUAUUUGAAAAAAUAUUCCCUCGUUCUAGAGGUGGGCGCCUGAUUACCAAAGCCUGCAAUUUGAAAAAAAUAUUGAAAAAUAUUCCCUUGUUCUACAAGUGGGCACAUGAUUACCCAAAACAUGAAAUUUUGAAAAAUGUUCCCUUAUUCUACAGGUGGGCGUCUGAUUACCAAGACUUGAAUUUUGAAAAGAUAUUGAAAAAUAUUCUUUGUUCUACAAGUGGGUACCUAAUUACCAAAACUUGAAGUUUGAAUAAUAUUACAUUCUUCUAACAGAUAGGUGCCUGAUUGUCAAAUUUGAUAUUUUGAAUAGUUUUCCCUUGUUCUAUAGGUGGGCGCCUGAUUACCAAAUCUUGAAAUUUUAAAAGAUAUUCUCUUGUUCUUCAGGUGGGCGCGUCAUUGCCAAAACUUGAAAUUUUGAAAAGUAUUCCCUUGUUCUGCAGGUGGACGCUUGAUUACCAAAACUUGAAAUUUUGAAACAUAUUCCCUUAUUUUUCAGGUGGGGGCCCGAUUACCAAAACUUGAAAUUUAAAAAAUAUUCCCUUGUUCUCCAGGUGGGUGCCUGAUUACUAAAACUUGAAAAUUUGAAAAAUAUUCCCUUGUUCUAACAGGUGGGCGCCGGAUUGCCAAAACUUGUAAUUUUUAAUAGUUUUCCCUUGUUCUACAGGUAGGCGUCUGAUUACCAAAACUUGAAUGUUUAAAACAUAUUCCCUUGUUCUUCAGGUGGACGCCUGAUUGCCAAAACUUGAAAUUUUAAAACGUAUUCCCUUUUUCUACAGGUGGGGCGCCUGAUUACCAAAGCUUCAAAUUUUGAAACAUAUUCCCUUGUUCUUAAGGUGGGCGCCCGAUUGCCAAGAAAUGAAAUCUGAAAAAUAUUCCUUGUUCUAAAAGUGGGCGCCUCAUUACUAAUACUUGAAACUUUGAAAAAUAUUCCCUAAGGCUACUUCCUGUGUUCCUAAUCACAACAAAAUAAAGAAAAACACAAACAUUCUUCCUGCCUCAUUUUGAUGCUAGGCGGAUCUGUAAGUGUUAAUCAAAUCCCUUUGUCAAAUAUCUCUAAACCUAAGCUAAGUCCCAUUAUCCAGGACGAUCCUGAAAAUUCGUAAUUGACGACAACUUUAAGACUAUGUGAUGUUUCUCAAAAAGGUAUUAUUUUCCACUAUGUCUUGUUACGAGUUAUACCUGAUGGCGGAUCUGCUGGCGACUGGUGAUUAAAACUGCUUCCCAUUAUUCAGGCGGGUCCUGACAACUCUGAAUAUGGCAAGAUGCGACUGCUAAGGGUUUGUAUCUAGAGCUACGUCCCAUUAUCCAGGAGGUCCUGACAACUCUUGUUGACCCUUGCUGGGGAAAUAUCUAAUAUAAGUCUCAUUUUUCAAGAGGGUCCUGAUGACUCUUAUUGACUCUUAUUGGGGAAAUAUCUAAUCUAAGUCUCAUUUUUCAGGAGGGUCCUAAUGACUCUUGUUGACUCUUGUUGGGGAAAUACUUGAGUUUUACCAUGCCAUCAGACUGUUUGUGUUUUUAGCCAAGUCCCCCUUUCCAGGAGGGUCCUCAAGGUUCCGCCUUAAAUGCUAAUUUUAACUUCUGGUUAUUUCUGCUAGUGAUUAUUGUCCAGGAGGGUUUCUGUGACUCUUACUAGGGAAGGAGUUGGUUCUUCCCCAUGUUACCCGCACCUGUUUGAGUUUUAAACUGCGUUCCAUCUCAAAUUCUAUGCUUUUUUUAACCCUCGGUUGUUUCUAUUAGGGUUUGUUAGUUAAAGUUUUUCCCCUUAUGCACUUUGCUGGGGAGGGUGUUUAUGACGGACUAUGCCCCUUUUGAGUUUUAACUGAGUUAUACUUCUAGGUGGACCUUGAGAUUUUGAUCAUACCUGACAUGUAUACAUGCCUUCUCAUAUGGAUGGCCUCCCUUAGGCUUUUCCGAAAUUUUCUGCCCCUAUGUCAAUCAAAGAAAACUUGUCCGUUUGAAAAAUGUUGAUUGUCUCGCGACAUUCUUGUUGAAAACGGCCUCCCCGUUGUCGUGUUCCCUUGUGUUCCAUUGCCCAAAUUGAAGAUGAGUUGCUCGAACUGCUCAGCUGACCCCUUGAGGCCUCUAGACUUUAUUUUCCCUCCACCUCAUCAUUGUGUUACAUUACUAAUCCCUUCCCAUAAUUCUUUGUCCUUUCCCGAUGAUUGAUGAGUUGAUGUAUCAUGCUUUGGUGAACCCGCCGAACCUUACAGCUUCACUUUGUUCUUUGUCUUUGUGUUACCUUUCCAUUCCUUUACCAUAAUCCGUGCCCCCUUUCUUGAAAUCACCCAGUCUGUCUAUGAUGUUUGGUUGGCCUUUGCCUUUUGUGCCUUUAUGUCGCUCCCUACUUUGUGUUGCACUUCCGACCCUUUACCAGAAUUUCUUUAUCCCUUUCCCGACGAAUGACGAGUUGAUAUAUCAUGCUGGGUCAGCUCUCAUAGCCAUUUCCACCUUUGUGUUGCACCUUUGCCUCUUUUGUUAGAAGUCUUAUACCCUUCUCGGACGAUUGUUGAGUUAGGAUGUUAUGCUUGGCUGAUCCUCUGACCCUUGUGGCUUUGUAUUAUUUCUCAUCUUGGUGUUACAUUUCCGAGCCUUCGCCAAAAAAUCCUUACCCCCUUCCCUGAGAUUACCCGGUCCAUUUGUGAUGCUUGGCCGACUCUUGAUCUUUAUGCCCUCACUUCGCUCCCCACCUUGUGUUGCACUCUUGAUCCUUUGCCGGAAUUCUUUAUGUCUUUCCCUGAUGACUGAUGUAUUAUUAUUGGUCAAACCUUGCGACCUUGCGACCUUUCCCAUCUUCGUGUUGUGCUAACUUUGCGUCCCUUCUGAGGUAGCCUGAUCGGUGUAUGAUGCUCGGCUUACCCCGGAACCUUUGUGGUUUUACUUUGCAUGCCCCUUUCUAUAUGGUACUCCUUCACUUUGCCGACUCUUGUCUCUUCCAUCAAUUGCAAAUUUGUGAAUCCUUCCCUUUGCUGUUCCACACUUGUUAUCUUUGUUACAUAUUUGGGCGUCAUGCACUUUGUCCUUUUGGGAAUUGAUAAUCGUCUUUGAAAUUUCUCCCGUUUGCUUAAACAAAAAGCUUUAUAGACUCAAAAGAAAGAUGAAACGCAACGACUCCGAAUGGUAUUUAGGUUAAAGAAUUCAAAACUCGCUGAAUAUUGAAAAGAAGAGAAAGAGAACUUAUCUGAAGAACAACUGGUUUUCACGAUCAUGACAUGCACUUCGGCCUAGUCGACCCGGUCUACUUCGAUGAUCGACCUUCUGUUGCCACGCUUUUGUUGUUGUGACCCUUCUGGCCCAAUUCCUUCAACCAAACCCUAGCUUAGCCUACCUGACAGUGUUCAUCCACUGACAGGCCCUUUCUGAGUUUUGCUUUUUACCUUCGCCUCACAGUGCCCAUGAGUAUUUUCACCCAUGAGACUCUCUCAUUUUACUUUUCUCAACUCGCAUCGCCUUAUGGCGCCCAUGAGGGUUUUCACCAAUAAGACUCUCUCAUUUUAUUUCUCUUUCUUACUUGGAUCGGAGUGCUUCCCCUGGCGUGAAUCACCUCUACUUGCUCAACUUGGCAUCUCUUGAAAACUGAUAAGUAGUUCUUCCUUUGGACCGUAACGUGUGCUUUUGGAUAGGGUUAGAAAGAAAGGGCAUCAAAGGCUCAAAACAAUUUAAAAGGGUUCAAAAUUACAACUUUCAGAAUGAAAUUCUUGCAACCACAACUUCUGUCCCUGUUUCUUGAUUGGGGACUUUUGGAUUUUUAUUUUGAUGACACCGAACCGUGAGGCUGCCUACAUAUCCUUUUAAAAGGAAUGAGGUCAUAUGUAGUUCAUGCCGAUUCGUUGUUUUUUUGGUUGUAUUUCUUCUCCUCUUUUUUGUUGUUUUUUUUGUUUUUCUUUUCUUCCUUUUUAUUUUCUUUAUUUUCUUUUCCUUUUCUCUUUUCUCUUUUCCUUUUAUUCUUUUCAUUAUUUCCUUUCCUUUCCUUUUGUUGUCUUCUCAAACUUGCGCUUCUGACUUUUGUUACUGAUUUCGAAAGAGGGUUAUGAAAGAAAAUAACUAAAACUCAAAGAGGUCAACAAAGCAUAGAGUAUUUAGAUAGCAGAAUAAAAUGCUUUCGUCAUUCCAAUUUUAAAAAUAUGCCAAGUACAAACAAAUGUCGAGAAUAGACAAUGAUCUAAAGAAAAUCAUACAUAAUAUCUUUUGACAACAUCCGAAUUGAUAUCCAUUUCCGCACAUUUCCCUUCCACAUCCGUCAGGUAGAACGCUCCAUUGGACAACACUCUUGAUAUGAUGAAUGGUCCUUACCAAUUUGGAGCAAACUUGCCUUUCGCCUCGGCCUGGUGGGGGUGGAUGUGCUUUAGCACCAGUUGACCUACUUCGAACUUUCUGGGGUGCACUUUCUUAAUAUAUGCCCCCAUCCGAAUUGGUAGCCAUUUCCACAUAUUUCCCUUCCACAUCCGUCUGAUGCGAUGCUCCAUUGGACAACAUUCUUGAUAAGAUGAAUUGCCCUUGCCAGUUUGGAGCGAACGUGCCCUUUGCCUCGGCCUGGUGAGGGGGAAUGCGCUUUAAUACCAAUUGACCUACUUCGAACUUUCUGGGGUGCACUUUCUUAUUAUAUGCCCUAGCCAUUCUUUGUUGAUACAACUAGACGUGACAGAUUGCCGCCAAUUUUUUCUCGUCAAUGAGACUCAAUUGUUCCAAACGAGCUUUGACACAUUCUUCGUCGUCGAUUCCUGCUUUGGCAUCGAUUCGAAGAGAGGGAUUUAAAUCUCAGCCGGGAUUACUGCCUCUGUGCCAUACACCAACAAGUACGGAGUGGCCCCAACUAAAGUGCGGAUAGUGGUGAGAUAGCCUAACAAUGCAAAAGGCAUCUUCUCAUGCCACUUCCUAGACCUUUCUACCAUUUUACAAAGUAUCUUCUUUAUGUACUUAUUGGCCGCCUCAACGGCUAUGUUUGCUUUGGGGCGGUAUGGAGUAGAAUUUCGAUGCAUGAUCAUAAAUUGCUGACAUACUUCCCUCCUUAAGUGACUGUUGAGGUUUGCCCCAUUAUCUGUGAUAAGUUUCUUGGGGAUUCCAAAGCGACAAUUGAUGUUUGUAUGCACAAAGACAACCACUGCUUUCUUGAUCACCACCUUUAAGGUUUUGGCUUCAACUCAUUUGGUGAAAUAAUCAAUAGCAACCAGAUAAAUCUGUGUCCGUUAGAAGCUGCUGGCUCAAUGGGCCCAAUGGCGUCCAUGCCCCAAGCAACGAAAGGACAUGGUGCCGACAUCGUAAGCAAUUCAGACGGUGGAGAACUAAUUAGUUCUCCAUGCACCUGACACUGGUGGCAUUUGCGCACAAAGCUGAUACAGUCCCGCUCCAUGGUAAGCCAAUAAUAUCCUGCCCGGAGAAUCUUCUUUGUCAAAACAUAUCCGCUCAUGUGUGGCCCGCAGACACGAGCAUGCACCUCAUUCAUGAUAGUUGUCGCCUGCCUGGCAUCGAAGAAUCUUCUUUGCCAAAACAUAUCCGCACAUGUGUGGCCCACAAACGCCAGCGUGUACCUCAUUCAUGGUAGCUGUUUCCUGCCCAGCAUCUACGCAUCUUAGUAAACAAAGAUCUGGCGUUCUUUUGUAUAGUAUUACUCUACUGAAGAAAAACACACUUGACAAAUGACACAUUGUUCUCUUCUGGUCACUCGUGGCUUGCAUCGGGUACACACCUCUCCUGAUAUAUUCCUGGAUAUCGUGGAACCAAGGCUCGCCGUCAAUCUCUUCUUCCACCAUAUUGCAUUAAGCAUGCUUAUCAUAGACUCGGAUAUGUAUCGGCUCAACAUAAGCCUUGUGCGAAUGAUGUACCCUUGACGCCAAAGUAGCCAGGGCAUUGGCGACCUCUUUGUGAAUUCUGGGGAUGUGACAAAACUCUAUUGAUCGGAAUCGUUGGCAUAGAUCAUGCAAGCAUUGUUGGCAUGGUAUGAUUUUUAAAUUUCUAGUUUCCCACUCCCCUUGAAUCUGGUGUACCAGAAGGUCCGAGUCUCCCAAAACCAUGACUUCCUAGACACCCAUGUUCACUUCCAUUUUCAGACCCAAAAUGCAUGCCUCAUACUAUGCCAUGUUGUUGGUACAAUAGAAGCAGAGUUGAGCUAUGACUGGGUAAUGAUGACCUUCUUCAUAAAUGAGCAUGAUCCUAUCCCAAAGCCUUUCAUGUUGGCAGCCCCAUCAAAGAAUAAUUUCUAUCCCGACUUCUCAUCCUGUUCCGCUUCAUUGAUAUGCAUCACUUUCUCGUCCGGGAAAUAUGUGUACAAGGGCUCAUAUUCUUCAUCCAAAGGAUUCUCAGCUAAAUGGUCCCCCAAUGCUUGUGCUUUCAUGGCAGUCCUAGUCACAAAGAUAAUGUCAAACUCAGUGAGCAAGAUUUGCCAUUUCGUGACCCUUCUUGUGGGCAUGGGCUUCUGGAAAAUGUAUAUUAAUAGGUCCAGUCAUUGAGAUGAGAUAAGUGGUAUAUGAUGAUAAGUAAUUCUUUAACUUUUGGGCUAUCCACGUUAAGGCGCAACAUGUCCUUUCAAGAUGAGUAUACUUAACCUCGUAAGUUGUACAUUUCUCGCCGAGGUAGUAUAUGGCCUGCUCUUUCCUUCCGGUAACAUCAUGCUGACCCAACAUGCACCCAAAUGAGUUUUCCAAGACUGUCAAAUAUACGAUCAAAGGCCUACCUGGUUCCGGCGGGACCAAUACUGAUUGGUUUGACAAAUAUUCUUUUAUCUUAUCAAAAGACUCUUGACACUCUCUCGUCUAUUAUACCGCAACAUCCUUUUUCAAUAGCUUAAAGAUGGGCUAGAAAAUGGUUGUGAGCUGAGCAAUGAACCGACUGAUGUAAUUCUAUCUUCCUAGUAGACUCAUAACUUAUGUUUUAUUCCUUAGUGGUGGAAGCUCCUGUAUAGCUUUGAUUUUUGAUGGACCUAGUUCGAUGCCUUGAUGUUUGACUAUGAACCCUAAUAACUUUCCCGAUGGGACCCCAAGUGCACAUUUUGCUGGGUUGAGUUUGAGGUCAUACUUGCGGAGCCUUCGGAAGAAUUUCCUCAAGUCUUUGACAUGAUUGGAUUGUUGUCUGGACUUGAUUAUCACAUCAUCCACAUAGACCUCUAUUUCUUUAUGCAUCAUAACGUGAAAAAUGGUUGUCAUGGCCCCCAUGUAUGUUGCCCCGGUAUUUUUCAAACCAAAGGCAUGAAUCUAUAACAAUAUGUCCCCCACGUUGUGAUGAACGUUGUUUUCUACGCAUCUUCUUCAUCCAUUAAGACCUGGUGGUAUCCUGCGUAGCAAUCCAAGAAUGACCCAAUCUCAUGCUUUGCACAAUUGUUAAUCAAUAUGUGUAUGUUCAACGGGGGGAUGUUUUCUUUUGGACUCGCUUUGUUGAGGUCACGGUAAUCAACACACACCCUGGUUUUACCGUCCUUCUUGGGCACAGGCACAACUUUAGCUAACCAGGUGGGGCAUCGUGUGACUCGGAUGACUUUUGCCUCAAAUUGCUUGGUUACUUCCUCUAUAAUUUUCACACUCACAUCAGUUUUGAACUUUCUCAACUUUUUCUUGACAGGCAGACAUGCUGGGUCAAUGGGUAACUUGUGGAUCACUAAGUCAGUGCUCAAUACGGACAUGUCGUCGUAGAGCCAUGCAAAGACAUUUUUGUACUCAAGCAACACUUCAAUUAUUUCUUCCCUAAGCUAUGGCUCCAGAUGGACACUUAAUUUUGUCUCUCAGCCAUUAUCUGGACUUCCUAAAUUGACUGCCUCUGUAUCAUUCAGGUUUGGUUUGGGUUUCUCUUCGAAUUGGGUCAACUCUUUACUAAUCUCAUCCCACGCCCCUUCCUCAUCGUACCCCGGUUCGUCCUCAUGUUCAAUUUCCUGAAUUAUUUUUCUGAACUGGACCUAUUUUGACGACUGGGCCGAGGAGUCCUUAUGCAUGUCAGAUCACUUGAACCAACAUAAAAAUAACAUUACAAAAGAGAAAAGAAAUAAAAGUAAAGAGAAAUGGAAACUAUCGGCAUUGCUGAAAGGGAAAUUGCAUUUCAUUAGAAUAAAAAAUAACAGAGUUUACACAUCCAAACAGACAAAAAUAACAACUGAAUUAACAACUAUGAUGCUAAUCCAAACUAGACUGAAAGGAAAAUCAAGGCCGAGUACCACGACUCCCUCCGAGUGAGAAGAGCAGUGGCUUCCCAGUUAUUGAUUUUUGUGCAUGCUCCCACAAAAUGCACAUCCUCUAUGCUUAGUCAUUCUCCUGCCUCGACCAUAUUCACCUCAUUGAAUAGUCUUUCAAACCCCUUAUCAAGAUCUUCGUCCGCAUUGAUCAGCGGGCUGGAAAUCUUUGGUCCGGGGCCAUUAAUAGUGUUGGGCUUAACAAAUGAUCUGGACAACCUUGGGAUGGGAUUUGGGAGAACCCUAUCCUUCUGCCUUAGCUUCCUGGCUCGCCUUAUGUCUGUGACUGUAGGCUUGAACCCUAGGCCGAAAGUGUCCAGAUUUUUAGGUUGGGACACUGGUUGCACAAUACCUUGUAGAGAAGCAUCCAACCCGUUGCCGGGCAUAAAACCAUUCUUCAACAUUUCUGAAGCUACCAUGACGGAUGUGGUUGCUAUUUUAGGGUCGUGCAACCUCACCUUCUAGGGUUUUAUGAACUGACACAGUAUCGAACACCUGAUAGACCCACGGCCCUUUGCUGUCCUCAGAUUGAAUAAAAUGUACGAUUCUAUCACCUGGAAUGCACUAAUUGUCUUCAGCGUGUACCAUAAUGCCUGUCCCAUUCAAAUUUGACCAUCUGAUGCAGCGUAGAUGGCAGUGCUUUGGCUGCAUGAAUCUAGGGCCUACCAAACAAUAGGUUAUAAGAGACUACUACGUCCAGCACUUGGAAUUCCAUAGUGAACUCAACGGUCCCUAUUGUCACUUACAGCACUAUAUCUCCUACAGUGUCUUUGCCUCCGCCAUCAAGACCUCGAACACAGAUGUUAUUCAUGCGGACCCUUUCAUUUUCAACCUUCAGCUUGGUCAAUGUGGACAGUGGAAAAAUAUUUGCACUGGACCCGUUGUCGAGUAAAACUCGGGUAACCACAACAUCUUCACAUUUCACAAUCAGAUAAAGAGCACGGUUGUGCUCAGUGCCCUCCAUAGGCAAUUCAUCGUCAGAAAAUGUGACCCGGUUUACUCGAAUAUCUUGUUCACAAUCUUUUCCAAAUGAUUCCCUGUUAUGUUUUCUGGGACAUGGGCUUCAUUCAAAAUCUUCAUAAAUGCCCGGCGGUGUUAAUCUGAGUGGAUUAGUAAGGAUAACAAAUAAAUCUGAGCUGGUGUUUUCCUCAACUGCUCUAUGAUCGAGUAGUCCUACAUUUUCAUUUUCUUCAAGAAUUCUUCCGCCUCUUCUUCUGACACAACUUUCUUCACUAGUUAUGGGUUAUCUUUAGAGAUUCUGCCCUUCAUCAAUUCUUCCAGGGCAAGGUACCUUCCUGACCGAGUUAAACCGUGUGCCUCACAAAAUUCCUCCCUAACUUCUUUUCCCUUGUACAUCACUAUUGCUUACUCAUAUCUCCAAGGAACGACUUUGCUGUUGAUGAAUUGUGGCUAGAUAACUGGUUUUACAAUAACUAGCACUAUGCAAACACCUUCCACAACUACGACAGGUUCUCCAAUUGUCCAUGUACAUUUACUUUUGCUUGUUCCUGCUUUGGCGUAACCGCGCAUGCUGAGCUCCCCUGAACUAUUACAGGCUUGCUGCCUUUUUAUUUUGCCCCGGUUACUAGCUUCUCCGUUCUUGCACUCUCAGUUGGCUUAAAAUCACUGGCUUUGAUCAUCAUUACCGUUUGUGAGGUCCUUUUGGAUUCUCCCUUUCUUUACAUAAUCUCAAUCAUGUUGGUUUUCUGAUAGACCAGCAGCGGGUAUUGGUUAAUAUUUAGCGGCUCCGGCUUCUGCACCUCAAUUUGGUGGGAGUCAAUAAGUUCCUGGAUAGCAUUUUUUAAAUGCCAACACUUUUUGGUGUCAUGCUCAGGUGCACCGGAACACUAUUCAGUGCUGAAUGAAUAAUCUAAAUUCUUCAAGGGAGGAUUUGGCAGUUUCAGUUCAAUUGGUCUCAACAUAUUGUUGUCGCACCUUGUGGAAUAAGCUAGUGUAGGAUUCUCUCAGCGGAGUGAAAGUCUUCUUUUUCUGUACCCUUUCAUUUCUCAGGACCGGAUUGGCUCGAAAGCGGGGUUCGGGGGUUGUUGCUAAGCUCUUGGAGGUGGGUGAUGAUUUUGUGGAGUUGGGUAGGUUUUUUGUGGGGGUAUCGCACGCCAUUGUGUGUGAGCGGGAGGUUGGGUAUGCUUGGCCGUGGUGGACUGAGAAGCGAGGUUCUGGUGGCGGAUAGUAAUGUAGUGGUGUGCCGUAUGGCGACUGUGGGUAUGUUUGGGGGUGAGGACAGGGUUAGGCGUAAUGAGAUGGCGGCCGAGGUCUGAACCGAGUUCUCGACUCCACUUUCACUACUUCUUCUUUCUUCUUCUUUUCAAAGGUCCCCCAGCUCCACCUUGGAUGGCUUGAGUAGAUGCCUUAAUUGUAGAGUAGCUCAUGAUUUUAUUAAUUUUGAGGCCUUCCUCGACCAUACUUCCCAUAUUGACCACUUCGUUGAAAGACUUUCCCACUGCUGACACCAAAUGUCCAAAAUAGGUAGGUUCCCUCUUGCUUCUUCUUUCCGAAGGUUCCCCAGCUCCACCCUGGAUGGCCUGAGUAGUUGCCUUAAUUGCAGCGUAGCACAUGAUUUUAUUGGAUUUGAGGCCUUCCUCGACCAUACUUCCCAUCUUGACCACUUCAUUGAAAGACUUCGCCACUGCUGACAACAAAUGUCCAAAAUAGAUAGGUUCCAAAGCCCGUAGAAAAUAAUGAACCAUCUCACUCUCCUUCAUGGGAGGAUCAACUCUAGCAGCUUGUUCCCUCCACCGGAAACCGUACUCCCUGAAACUCUCUUUGUGUUUCUUCUCCAGCUUUGUCCGAGAUAGACGAUCCGGGAUAAUCUUGAGAUUAUAUUGAAAGUGGCAUGCAAAUGCUUGUGCCAGGUCAUCCCAAGUAUACUACCGAUUGUGAUCCUGCCGAGUAUACCGCUCCGGCCGAAACUCUCAGUGUGUUUCUUCUCCAGCUUUGUCCGAGAUAAACGAUCCGGGAUAAUAUCGAGAUUAUAUUGAAAGUGGCAUGCAUAUGCUUGUGCCAGGUAAUCCCAAGUAUACCACCGAUUGUGAUCCUGCCGAGUAUACCACUCCAGCGCCAACCCACUUAAACUCUAGCUAAAGUACGCCAUUAGCAAUUCAUCUUUUCCCCAUGCUCCCCUCAUUUUGCUUCAAAACCCCCUUAGACGUGCGACCAGAUCUCCAUGACCAUCAUAUAUGUCAAAUUUAGGCAUCUUGAAACUUGGAGGAAACUGCACGUCUAUGAAUCGACAAAGAUCCUUGAAUGCCAUGCUUACCUGGCCACCUAAUCCCCGCAAGUCCCUGAAUGAUUGUUCGAGACUCUGAACCUUUCUAAGCACCUCUUCCUUAUAAGGAGUUUUGAUUAGUUUUUCAACUCCCGCCGAGAUUUCGGUACAGGGAGCAUAAGGAUAAGGCUCAUGGGUCUUGUAAGCAGGUUCUGGUGGAUAGUAUUGCGGGUCAUAAGCUUGAAGCGUGGGUUCACUUGAUGACCUAUGAAUUGCAGGAGGUGGGGGUGCCACAUAGAUAGGGGAAAUUGGCGGAGGAGGGUGAGGAGUGACUUUGCGUAGUGGAGCUGGUGGUGGUUGAGAGGUCGUACCCUGAUGUUGUGAAUAGAUAAGAAAACUUGAAGGCGGAUCAGUGGCAGAUUGGUUAGGUUCUUGGGCCAGUGGUGGGAUAAAGUUUGGAUUAGUAGGAUAGCUCGGGGUGGUUGUCCUCUUGCCCAUGCCCGGUACAUCUCAACCAUUUUGUUAUUUAGCUUAUACAUUUCCUCCUUCAGAGCAUUAACGUCCAAUUCCUCAACUUCCAUUAAGGAGCCAAUAAUGCUGACGUCGGCUUCCUGAUUGGCCAUGACUUGCUUGCUUUUAUACCGCGUGUUGUAGGAGUGGGUUGUUAGAAUGCCGCGAGUACUAAUUACCUAUCUAGUUAGAAAUUGGAGUUAUACGAAUCACCUGUCUAGUUUGAAAUUGGAACAACACCAAAAACUCGUUAAUGGUUAGGUUCUGACACAUAAGCGGCCACACAUUGGGUAUAAAUGCACCUAAAUAACAUUCGGUCAAUACAUGCAUCGGUUGCCUACAUCAUCCCAACUUUCAUUUCUUUAUUUGCGAAGCCCUAUAGUUUAAGCUUUAUUCUCUCCCUCUUUCUUAUUACAUUCACUUUCUCUCUUGUUUUAUUCAAUUGUGGUCGAAUCCUAUGUAGAUUGCCUACGUAUCAAGACCCCGCAUGAAUCAGACCGAGCGUAAUUCUUGCAAGUAAAAAGCAAAGCAUAAAAAUAUUUUGGGAGUUUCCAUCCUCAUAAUAACAAACUUCGGUUACAAGGACUCCAAAGACUGACAAAUUAAAGAAGAAACUAACAAGCUUGUAUAAAAAGCGAACUAUAGACUCGAAAAACAACUAACUAUGCAUAACAGAAAGUAUAGAUUGUCUGUUAAAUUGAUAGCCUUUUAAAUAUAUUUUGAAAAAAGGACGGGUGAUCCUUAUGAAUACAUUAUUGCUUCAGGUGCUCUUGGUCCUCGCAGGGAAUCAUUUGUCCUAGUCGCAGGCUUGCGUGCUAAACUCACUUGGAGGUGUUGGAGGUCUUCCAUCACUUGCCGAACAAAGGUCAUGGCGGUGGCAAAGAACAUGGAUCUUGUCAUAUCCCCGUAAUGGUUGCACUUUUUGGUGAUGUAGUCUGCGAUCGCCCGUAGACUUUCCCUAAUAACACCCUUUUCUUGCAACAAACUCCCAAUUUGCUUAGCCCUUGCCACUAGAGUUCGCUCGGUUACAUGAUUCAGUUCCUGGAAUUGCCGCAAAUCCAUCUACAACCUUGUUAUCGCUGCAUAACAAUGUUUUCUCUCGACUUUGAAGUCCCCGACUUACUUGGCCACUCCGCUCUCAGCCAUGAUGGCCCUCCAUUUUAACCCAGCAACCUCAUCAUCAUGCUUCUGCUUUAAUUGUUCAAUGAUGUGGGCUCGUUUCUCUGCACUCUUAGCUAAUUGUUUCCGAUCCCUGGAUAGCUUGCCUUCUGCCUUAUUCAAGUCAAAUCCAUACUUGGUUAUUUUUUGCCUCAAAUAGUCUAUGAGUUUUUCAUCCUUCGUGCUCCUGAGGGGAUUUUCUCCGGCUUCUUUCAUUUUCUGGAUUUGGGCUCGCAAUGCCUCAUUUUCUUUGGUUAAUCUUUUCUUUUCUCCCUCAUCUGUUGCGGCUUGCAAACCAUUCUCAAAUUGCAACUCUUUGACUUGUUUUUCUAAUCUUCCUAUGGUGGCCCUGUACUUAUUUUCCUUGGAUAGCCAAUCCCAUUGCUCUUUUGACGUCUCAACAAAUUCUUGGAGAUGGUGUCUUUUAGAUGGCCUUCCGGGCUCUAUUUCUUUUUUAUACCAAGCAAUUUAUCCCGGUGCAACCUUGCCUGUAGAUAUGUCGUAUACUCGGGUGCCCGCUGUCAAGUAUUGACAUUCGCUCCAGAUUUGACGCACGACGGCUUCAGGGAAUUGACCAUUGGGGAUAAUCUCAACUGCAUGGGGGCUAAUAUCCUCGUCCCUAGGAAUCACUUGGCAUCUACCUAAUUUCCUUAUUACUCUGUAUGGUGCAUAGGGUUGGAUACUUCGGAGACCCAUCAGAAGGAAAUGAGGCCCGGUGGCUGGCAUAUACACAAUUUCAUCCACGGGGAGCCACUAGAAUGUCCACUCUAUCUAAUUUGCAGUGACAACUCGGAGAUGCAACACCCAUUCUAUGACGCCCUCAGGUAACCUAAACCCAUCAACCAUGUUCAAGAAUUCUUGUAUGCAGCUCUUUGAUGGUGGCCCAUAAUCCAUGAACCGAGGCCGGUGGCAUAAAUGCUCAAUCAUCCAUAUUUGUAACAAUAGGUUACAUCCAUCACAAAAGUCUCCUCCCGCUUUACAGGCGGAGAGAGCACGGAAGAUCUCGGAUAAGAUCAUAGGAGCGAGGGUGCUCUUGGCCUAAGUUAUUAAAGUGCUGCAACCCCUACUAUUUGUAUAUCAAUAUCCAUCCUUUCGCGGAAACACCAAAAGAUAAUACCAUAGAUGCAAAACAUCGAUGCUCCUCUCAUUUGAGUUGGUUUCCUUUGCUACAAACAUAGUUUUAUGGGUUAUUUAAUCCCCCUAUAUGCCCAUACCUAUGAUAUAUAAACUGCGGAGUACGAAAGCCGAAUGACAUGUCCGGAUUGUGAACCUUCCUACUAAUUUUUAAGGAGUCUAGGAACUUUUGCACGACGAGGGCUCUUGGCGUAAUUAGGUAAUUGUGUCUCAAGGGAAUCGUAGGGGUCCCAAUAUGUCCAGUUACUACCUCCAAUGUCGGUGUGAGUUCAAAAUACGAGAAACUGAAUACAUUGAUAGUCGAGUCCUAGAAUGUGAUCAAUAACUUUAUGAUAUGUCCCCUUGGGUUAAUUUUCAAAAACCCAGUAAGUCCUCCCAAUUGCAUGUUGACCCUGUUUUGCCUUGCUUCCCCCAAGUCAUUCCACCACAUGUGUAGCUCCAAGAAAAUUUUGUUCAUGAAUGUUAUCGGCAAAUACUGAUCGGUGUUCAUUCUGCACAUUUAUUAGGUUGUAUUAGUAAUAUUUUGUUCUAUUUGACUCCACAAAACAUUAAAACUGACAUUUUUCUUUUAUAAAAUUUAUUUUCUAAAAUCUGGGCCCAGCUUUGUGAAUACGGCCUUUUAGCACUUCUUAAGGAAGAUUUAAAGGUUGUGCUCGCUGGCCAGCCGAAAUAAGACUCAGAGGUGGCCAUUUGUGCAAAGUCAGCCUUCCAGCGUCCCUUUUGGUAACAUUCGGCUAUUCUUAGCAGUAACGACAUCACCCGAUUAUUUGGGAAAAUAAAAUAAUUGGGCAUUUUUUCCUUGUUUUGGUUAUUUUGAAAAAAGGGGGUUUGACCCGAUGGGGGUUGCGUACGUAUCUUGUACCUGAAAAGAAUCAAACUAGCGUAGUUCACACAAAACAAUUUAUCAAAACCAAAACUUUAUUGAAAAUCUCCCUUUUUCUUUUGUUAUUUUUUUUCUUUUCGAAAACCCAGCACCAUUUCGCCGCUAUUUGAGCAUUCGUUUUACUAGACAAAUGAUUAAUCUUUGGCAACCCUAAGACUACUUAUUUUCUCAAUUUUCUUUCCUUGUACGCAAGCCAGUCAACAUGCAAAUCCCAAGCAGCUACAUGCACAAAUAACACAUAAUAUGCAUCAGGAUGGUCUUCGCAUUUCGGGUCACCUGUCCCAAACUAACCCAACACCUGUGUUGGGUCCCCUAAGUCAAAUACAAUAUGCAAAUAAGCGUUCCUACUAGGGAGCCGACAUGAGGUCAAGUUAUUUUAUGUUCAAAACAUGAGUAUGUGUUCUAGACAGUGUACCCGAGCGGACAACCCUAGUCGAGGAUGAGGCUAUGUACCGGGAACCAAAAGGCUAUCUGGCUUUGUAACUUGUCCAAACUCUUUCUUAUUUCGGGGUAUGACACUAACAGAAUAAGGAGUCUCAACCAGUAAGCACAUCCCCGAAGGUGAGAAGAGAAGGGUUUCGUAACAGUUAAUAUGUACAGUUUAGAUAAUAUCAAAGUGGUAAAAGUAUCAUUUUGCAUAUUAAGCCAACAUAUAGAACCAAAUAAUAAAAAAAUCCAAAUACAACAAAUAUUAUAAGCUCGAAUUCUUGAACCCUGAACCAGAGAUUCUUAGUACGAUCCCCAGCAAAGGCGCUAGAGCUGUCACACCUCCUUUUUGGCUAUCCAUAACCCCGCGAAGGGCGUAGAUAAAGGAAGUUUUUCCAACUAAUGGACAAUCGAAAUUGGAUUCAAUAAUUUAAGGGAAUUUUAGAGUCACCACUUGAGAGAUUAAUGGUCUCCCAAGUCACCGUAUAGGAUCCCGAACCAUGGAAAUAAUGACCACCUAUAAUGGAAAUUGGGUCGUGACAAAGUCAUUUCAAAAUAAGUCAUGUUUUCUUGUUGCGUCAAAACUGGCAGAACAACGCGAGUCUAAUUCUCACGAAAUGUGAGAUACAUUAGCAAAACCUCAUCGGUUCCGGCCCACAAUUGUUUUAAAAAUCAAAAAUAUUUUCUGUUACUUGCUUCAUUAGAAAGGCUUUCUUUUAGACAUUAAUUUUUUUAAAAAAUAUUAUCUUUUAAUUUCUUCUCAAAAUCCAAAAAUAUAUUCAGUCUUCCUUAUAAAUUUUAAAAGAAAAUUCAAUAUUAAAAAAUAUUUUUUUUCUUUAGAAGCAUUUCUUUCAUAAAUUCAAAAUAAAAUUCCUAAAAAUUCAAAAAUGUUUUCUUUUUUUUCAUAAGAAGUUUUUCUUUUGAAAUUCCAAAAAAAGUAAAAAUUCUAAAAAAAAAAAUAUUUCCUUUCUUCUUUAGAAGUCUUUCUCUCCAAAAAAAAAACAAAUCGAAAUUAAAAAAUAUCUUGUUUCUUCUUUUUAAGUCUUUCUUCCGAAAAAAGUCCAAAAUCUAAAAAAAAAAGUUAGUUUAUUUACUUUAUUUUAAUCUUCCCGAACUUCACAAAGAUCAAAUUCAUGCAGCAUCAUGAUACAUAGGCAACUCACAUCAAGUUCCAUCAUUUAUUAAAAAUGAAAAAAUAAAAAUGAAAAAAAAGAAAAAAAAUGAUGAUAAUAAGGACCGACUGAGUCCAUUCUAACAUGUCUUUUGUUUUGAAUUGUGAAGAAAGAUUGAGGUGGUUGGUUUGCGGUAAGCUGUCAACACAAAAUACAAGGAAAAAAAUACAACUCACAUCGAAGUCGUUGCAACCAAUAAUGAGAAUCAGGGUCAGAGGGUUCAAGAAGUGUCUACUAUAGUUAAGGAAAAUAGAGUACUGAAACAAAAAAAAUGACUGAAAUGUGUCAAGCAUGGGCCAAUGGCCAAGGACCGCCCUUAUCUAUUUCUGGUAUCCUAGAGUUCACACCCAUCUCAACUACUACUACUCAGGUCUCAUUGUCUGAUCAAUCGUAUCCACCAGGGUUCUGUCUUUAUCCCAACUGUACAACUACAGCUGGAUCUUCAGUUGUAUGCUCCCAAAGUGUGCCAUUGACAACCAAUCAGACAACCAGUGUUGUUAUGCCCAUCUCCUCUAUCCCACAACUAAGGGUGGUGCAUAGGAAAACUCAUGAGUCACAAUUUGCUACCCAGCAAGAGCAAUACCACUCUCUUGAGUAUCACUCCUACCUAUUUGAUCUUCAUGCAAAUAAUAGGAAGCCUUUCCAAAUGAUGGCACAAGAAGAAAUGACCCAACGAGUGAAAAGCUCAGAACAACAGUUGAAAAACAUACAAGGUUGGCAGGUCAAAAGAGUAUUGCCUUCAAGGAUCUAUGUAUGUUCACCGAUGUUUGUUUUCAACUUCGUUUUAAGACUCCCAAAUAUGAAAGGUGUGAUGCACAUGGAGACCUCAUAGCCCACCUAAAAAGGUAUUGCAAUCAGCCAAGAGGUGAAGGAAGAAAUGAAUAAUUGCUCAUAGCUUAUUUUGGGGAAAGCCUUACAAGAGUAGCCUCUGAAUGGGAUAUGGAUCAAAACACUUCUCACUAGCAUGUCUUGGAUGACAUGGCCCAUGCCUUUGUCAAACAAUUCCAAUAUAACAUUGAAUUUCCCCAGAAUGUAAUUACGUUUUCACACUUGAAGAAGAAACAAACUAAAGGUUUGAUGGAAUAUGCCAUUAAAUGGAGAGAGCAAGCGGCUAGAGUUAAUCACCGUAUUCCUUCAGGCGCAAGAGCAAGAUUACUUUCAAAACAUGAUCUCCACAAUUGGAAAAUCCUUCACAGAGCAAUCAAAAUGGGAGAAAUGGUAUAGAUUGUCCCUAAGACAAGUAGAAUAAUAAGUCAAGCAGCUCCCAAAGCUGCAACUCGGUCUAUCCAAAUUAAAUCUCGUUAUUUUAAUGGCACGAAUAAGAAGGCUGAAGAAGUCAUGAUGACAUUGGGGUUGAAAAGAGGUCCUUGGGGAACAUCUCGAAGGUAUGAGCAGCCUAAUCAGGUGUCCCAUGACUCCCUUGAGCAUUACUAUCUACCUCAUAACACACAAUACUUUGUUGCUCCAACUCAGUAUGUUGGCCAGCCACCAAUACACCCAAAAGGCGAGCACGAGCACCGUAAAAUCCUCUCCAGCCUCCACAAAAUUUUUGAGUGACCUAUAACCCACAUCCAAUCUAGGGGUAUAGAGCAGAAUAAAGUUUGAAUUAUAAUUUUACACCAAUAGGAGGGUAGUAUGCAAAAUUUUUUGAGAAAUUAAAGCAUUAUGACAUGAUUGCACAUAUUCCUCCAAAUCAUGUGGACCUACGUGCAAGAAGCUUUGUGUCACGACCCCUGUUCGCCCUCCGUGAACAUAUCGUGACAGCACCUAGUACCUAUAACUAGGUAGUCCUAACGAUGCGGAAAAAUAAAUAAUUUACGUAAAUUAUAACUCAAACCAAUUUAACAAAAUGUAAAGCGGAAUAUAAAAUACGACUUGGUACAUACAACACAACAGCUCAACUACUACAGUACUAUCUUAAAACCCAGAAAAUCACGAGAAUAUAAGCUAAUAGAAGGUAAUACACUGCUCUAAUUCCAGAAUGUCUAAAACAACAGUACGAAAGGGGAACUAACCGCUAAAGCUAGAAUAAGAUAGAGACUCCUGGUCAGCGAAUAUGGCAAAUAUAACUUGAAGUCUUUGCUAAAGCUCUCCGUCUCAAGGGUAAUACGCUAGGAUGGAGGUACCUAGAUCUGCACAUGAAAAAACAUGGGUAGAAGGGGCGUGAGUAUACCACAGUAGUACUCAGUAAGUGCCAAGAACCUAUGUCGGGUAGUGACGAGGAAGGUCAGGGCGAUAAACAGGAAUAAUGAGUACAGCUAUGAAGUAAGAAAGGUUAUACAAGGCAAGAAAUAACACACAGAAAAAAAAGGUAACAUGGAGUAAACAGCUCAAUACCAGUACCAACAACGAGGAUCUUCCAGGAUACCAUCCUGUAGUCCAUUCCCUCAACUGUCCAAGGAUCUCCUGGGAUACUGCCCUGUAGUCCAUCAUAUGUGUAUAUUUGAAGGAUCUCCUGGGAUACCAUCCUGUAGUCCAACUAUCAAUGCAAGGAGAUCUACCGAAAUUCAAUCUUUAGUCCCAAAGUAAAUAUGCAGGGUGGAUCUACCGGGAAUCUAACCCGUAGUCCCUAAGUAAAUAUGAAGGGGGUCUACUGGGAAUCUAACGCAUAGUCAAAAAGUGAACAAACAAGGGGGAAGCUACUGGAAUCCCACAUCCCUAGUCCUGGUGCAAAAACGCAGUCACAACAAGAAGGUAUACAGGAAUAGAGUGCAAAAGAAAUACCAAGCAACAAGUAGUUCUAGCCUAACAUGCCUCACGUAGUACAAUCAAGAAACUUAAGAAAAUAAUCAAUUUAGGUUAACUAAGCAUGCUUUUCUAAACCAACACAUGCUGUAAUAUCAAGUAGAAUAAGACAGGUGUGAGCACAUGAUUUUCUCCCAAGGUGAAUUACUCCCACAGUUUCAAAACAAAAUAAAUAUCUUUUCAUUAUUCACAAUUUUGUGAAUUUUUGUGGUAUUUGUUGUUAAUUGUUGCAUUUGUUUGCGCAUUUUUAUUUUUGGAAAAUACAAAAUUUAUGUUGCGUAUGCAUUUAGGAUUCAAUUUUGCAUUUUUGAAUUAAUUAGUAAGCAGCCUUUUUUUUACAAAAUUGAAAAAUAACAAAAAUAGUCAUCUUGCAACUUUUAAUUUUAAUUUUUGGAUUUUUGAGUUAGUCUUUUUAGUAUUUUUAAUUGUGGUUAUUGUUUACAUUUAAUUAGUAUAUUUGAUAAGAUAAUUUGGGUUUUAUUAAUUUAAUUCAGAAACUUAGGUUUAAUAAGGAAAAAAAAGAAACAAAGAAAUUGUUUAUUUAAGCUUUAAACCCAAAGUUGGGCAAAAACAAUUAAAAUUGCCAAGCCCAAACACCAAGUACCCUACCAGGCCUGCCCCAAUUCUCCCUAACACAUCCAAAUAUCAAUGCCCCAACCUGAUCUGCCUCCAGUUAAUGCCAAAUGACACUAUUUCGUUACCCCCAUAUCCCCAACUGUUGAUCUCAUUCGAUCCAACGGAUCAGAACUCAACCCCUCCCCAGUAUUUACCUGUCCAAACCCAUCCCCCCUGCCCUACCCCAUCUCUCUUCUCUCUCACCUCACCAGAAGACAUCUCCAUUGCCGCUGCCUGCAAUUGCCGGAAAUUGCCUACAGCGGUUGCGAGUCUCCAAACCACCCCAAAUCUUUACCACAACUUCUUCUCCGCCUCCACAUUCUCAAUCCACAACUCAUUUCCCUCAAAACUUGCCCAAAUCCAUCAAAUUUCGAUUUGAAACCCUAGACCCUAGCGCCGCCACAAUUUCUCCGGUGGCGGCUCCGCUUCUGUUUGACUCCAAGACAAAACAAGGUGACCACCAAGCCCUACCUACCCCAAAUCUCAUGUUGUUUUCCCUCGAAUAACCCAGAAAGUCCUCAAAUCUUAAAUCUGGUCUAUAUUCAAAAUUCUCCAAUUAAAGUGUUAGUCAAGAUUUCGAGUUCACUUUGAGAUUAUUCGCGUGUUUUUUAUAAUAAAGAACAAAGUGAAGCAAUAUUUUAAGGUUCAAGGGCUCGAAGAGUGAUGCAAGCUUAUGUCUGUCCAGUUUUCUUUAGGUAUUUUGAAUUUAUUUUCAUUCUUCUUGCAUUUAUUUAUUCCUUUCAAUUAAGAUGAUUUCAUGUUUUUGUUUUCUUCUAUUUUGCUCUUAUUCCUCUGCUUUAGUUACUUUAUCCGAGUUUUAUUCGCAUGUCUUCCAAUCAUAGGUUAACUAUUGUUCCUUAGUUUAGUUAGACUUGGUUAAUUAAGGUUUGAGUCGAUUUGUUAACUUUUACUUUAAUUUUAAUAACAUAGUUUUGGCUCAUAAAUCGUCUCAUCGAAUAAUUUUUAUUUUAAAAUCAUGAGAUUCUGGAUUUGUUUCCUUUUUUUUUUGCUAAAAAAUCACCAAAAUGGACUUUCAACUUGGGUCAUUGUGUUUAAUGGGCUUUGAGGCCACACUUGACCCACUUGAAGAAGCCCUAGGUCAAAUUUGACCCAUAGGAGGUCUCCUGGUGUAAAUGCCAAAGGUUUAAAGGGUAGUUUGGGUAUCUCGACUUGAAGAAUCUUCAUAUCUAUUUAAAGAAGUCCCCGGAAGCUUCUAGCAGGGGCUGGUUUUAAUUUUGACACUAUGACAUGGCUAACAAGUCACAAAAUCAGGGACUAUAGGGCAAAAACAAAAUAUGAAGUUGCCCUACUUCCCUUGCCUAUAUAGGCAUCCUAUUCUUGCACUGCAAGGGGAAAGAAAAAAAGAUAGAAAAUUAGAAAAAUCAAUGUGGCUAAACAUUUUCUAAAAAACAUUGUUCCAUUGCUCUUGCUUUGGUGAUUUCUUAGAGUUUAUCUAAUUUCGAAACAUUUUUAGUUCAUUAUAGGUUUAGAAAAAAUUGAUUGAAUCUGGCUUUAAGGUUUGGUUUUGAAGUUUCUGGGUUGCAUUCAAGUGAAACUAUUCUGGUAGACUGAUUUAGCAUUGUUUUAGGUUUAAAAAUUGGUUUAUUGGGUCAUUUACUGCUUUUGAUCUCUGCUUGUUGCUGCUGCUAACUCUUAAUCCAUGAUUCUCUCAAUCUGGGUACACAUCUCAGAAAUUGAACAAUGUGAAUCUGCAAAUUGGAAGUCGAAAUGAAAUAAAAUGUGUUGGUUUUCAGUAUCAAAUCGUUGGUCCACAAUUAGAUUUUAGUUUGUUUCUUUUCCUUUUGAAUCAUGUUGUUCUUCGAAAGCAAUGUGUAUUUACGUUAGGAUUUGGCCAUGUUCUAUUCGAGUAGUAGUAGUGGUCAUAAUAUAGCCUACUCGAUAUUCAUUCAUCUUGCUUUCUUUUCUUUAAGGAUUGGACUUGAAUAAUGUUAAUAUGAAUGAUUCAAAGUUAUCUUUGAAUCUUUAAUCAUGUGCUAGGUAAGGAUUUCUCAGUUGCUGUAGUAUAUAUUUGGAUUUAGUAUGCAAAAUGGGAAAGUAUCUUGUUUGAGAUGGGAUUUGAUUUAUCGAUUUCAGGGAGCGUUUUAGCUUAUGAUGUCCAUGUUGAUACAAGAUUUUUUUUUAAUAUGUUCAAAAGGCUGUAGAUGUGACUAUAUAUUUAAAAUCAAAUUUGAAAGCCAGUUGAGUUUUAUACUAAACUCUUUGUAUGUGUAAGAUCAAUCAAUUAUGAAUAUAAUUUUAAGUGUUGCAUAUCACAUUUUGCACUAAUGGAUGAUUGUACAAGCCCGUUAAUUGGUGAUAAUAACUGUGCUUGAAGCACUGAUUGGAUUGAGUAUAUGUCUACCUUAUAGUUCGAUUCUGAGUCCUACGCCUGCAGCAUAUGUUAGUUAAUAUUUGGGCUCCUUUUGGGCCUGAAUAUCAAGCUUGUUUCAAUUCGGGAGGAAGCCCAUUACCUUUGGGAUUCCUUGAUUCUAAAUAGAGACCUUGAUGACCAGUUGAUGAUGGACCCAAUUCCAGUUGAAAUAGUCAUAAUCUCUUUUGACAUUAUUUCAGCUAACAUAUCUUCAUCGGUGGUGAGCCACAUUGAAUAGUGAAAAAUAUUUUAUGGCCGUCAUGGAUUAGUUUAGAAACCUUUAAAUUAGGAUUGAGGCACGCCAUUCCAAACAAAAUAUUUAAAUGCUCGGUCCUCAUUUAAUUAACGUGUUUAAUACUUAGAACUCGAGGUGUGCCAUUUAGCAAAUUCCAUGGCCCUAGCAAAAUUUAAUGGAAAACGUGUGAUUGCUCUAGGUGCGUCAGUUAAUAAUUUACCUUCCUAAAUUUGGGUGCGCAUUUAUGUGACCCAAAUCUAAAUCCCAAUGUAAGAUAAAACGUGUUGCGGGCUACGGGUGCAUUUAUGUGACGUGGUUCAGAAACAUAUUUUAAAUAACGUUGCAAUCUUCCUUUUAAAUUGAAUAAAAGCAGUUAAAGUCUAAAAAUUGCACAUAGGUUCAAAAUGUAUUAAAAUCAGAUAAUUAAGCCGAAUUUAAUAGUUGAGCGACUGCUCUAGAACCACGGAACUCGAGAAUGCCUAACACCUUCUCCCGAGUUAAUAUAAUUCCUUAUCCGGGUUUCUAAUUCGCAGACUGUAUUAAAGAGUCAACAUUUAUCUCGACUCAGGAUUUAAAUCGGUGGCUUGGGACACCAUUAAUUAUCCCAAGUGCCAACUCUAAAAUAUUUAAAUAAGUAAAUCCCAUUUCGAUUGUCCUUUAAUUGGAAAAACUACCUUAUCUAUGCCCUUCGCGGGGUGUAGUGUAAAAAGGAGGUGCGACAGCUCUGGCGACUCUGCUUGGGUUCGAACCAGGAAUCCUUGGUUCUUGGUUCAAGAAUUCUAGAUCAAAAUAAUUGUUGUAUUUGGAUUUGUUUAAUAUCUAAUUUUAUGAUUUUCCCAAUGUGCUAAGUGUUGCUUUUUACCUCUUUGAUAUUAUUUGAUCUAUAUAUAAAUUGUUGCAAAACCUUUCUAUUCUCAUCUUCGGGGAUGUGCUCGUUGGUCGAGACUCUCUAUUCUGUUAGUGUCAUACCUUGGAAUAAGAAAGAGGCUCGGACAAGUUACUAAGCCGGACGGCCUUUUGGUUCCCGGUACGUAUCCCCCUCCUCGACUCGAGCCGAAAAAAUUAACCUCACGCUGUAUCCCUUGUAGGAAUGCUUAUUUGCAUCAUGCAUUUAACUUAGGGGACUCAACAUAGAGGUUGGGUCCAUUUAGGACAGGUGUACCCAAAAAAAUAGACCAUCCUGAUGCAUCUUGUGUGCUAAUGGUCCAUUUAUUCCGGAUUUGCAUGCUGACCAGCUCUUAAAAAAGAGGAGAAUUUGGCAAAGAUAAUAACAGUGUGAGGGAUGAGGGAGGUAAUUACCUGUUUCAGAAACCAAUAUUGAAAUUCUGCCGAAAUUUUGAAAACUGAAAAGAAAAGGAUCUUGUUAUUGUUUGCAAAAUAAAAGGGGAAAAAGAAAAGAAAAGCUGGUUUUUAAUUUUGUCAAAAUUGCCCGAACUACGCCGGUUUGAUACUCACAGGGCGUGAGAUACGUUGGCAACCCCAUAUCGGACCAAACUCAUUUUUGCUAAAACGGCUUCAAAAGAACAAAAUUUUGUUCGUGAUAAAUAAAUAAGGCAAUCAUCGUCAAAAAUAGCCGAAUGUCCCCAAAAGGGCACUUGAAAGCUGCUUUUGGAAAAACAAUUGUGAGCACGUGAUUUUUGCCUCACUUGAAAUGUUAAAUUCAUUAAACUAGGAUUUUUCUUUUGUUAUUUGAAUUUUUUGGAAUUAAUUAUGUCAUUUUGUGUUUAUUCGUAUUUUUUCUUUUACUACGUGAAUUAUUAGGAAUUAAUUGCGUGAUUUUGUGUUUAUUUUCAUUUUUCUUUCAUUAUUCGAAUUUUUAGGGGAUAAUUGUGUGAUUUCGUAUUUAUUUGCCUUUUCCUUUAUUAAUUGUGUGAUUUUGUGUUUAUUUACGGCUUCCCUUUAUAAUUUGAAUAUUUAGAAUUUAAUUGCAUAGAUUGUGUAUUUGUUUGAAUGUUGAGUGCAUUUUAAUUUACAAAAAAUACAAAAAUGGCAUGGUUGCAUUUAGGAUUUAAUUUUUGCAUGUUUAACAAUAUUAAAAAUGAGAAAAAUAACAAAAUUUGCUAUACCUACAUUUGUUUAAUUUUAUUUUUUUGAAUUUUAGAAUUUAGGAUAUUGUAGAGAUUAAUUAGUUUAUUUUGUGGAGGAUAAAAUCUAUUUUGGUUUAUUUUUUAUUCUAUUUUUAAAUGUGAAAAAUAAAAUAAAAUAAAAAUGGGAGAUGAACAAAUAAGUGUAUAGGCCUAGGUCAUCUAUAAGGCAAUAAUUUGGGCCACAUUCCCCACCCCAAACCAUAAACCCACUUAACCAGACCAAAGCUUGACUCCUGCCCAGUCCAAUAACACCAAGUCCAAAACAACGUCGUUGGACGUCCGUUAAUCUCAACCAUCCAUACUCCUCGAUCCAACGGCUUAGAUUGAGCCUUACAUUUUCAAUAUAACUGUCCAAACCCCUGAAGUACCUCAGAGAUUAAAGGUCACCCUCCUCGUUAUAAUUGCCUAUCGGUGUAACGCCGCCGCCAAUCCACUGUACCACCACCGUCCGCCACCGGCCAAAAAUUGUCGUUGACGCUGGUGUAACUCCAAUAGCCUCCAAAUUUACACCCCAGAAUUCCCAUUGUCUCCUCUUCCAAACCCUCCUAAGACCGCCCUUUGAAACCCACUCCAACCCGUCGAAUAUUUUUCCAAAGCCCGGCUGGAAAAUUAACACCAUGGGACCCCCUCACUCUCCUCUUCCUAACCCUACCAUCAGUCACUCUCAAACACGACCCCAUCCCUUUGAAUGUUCACCUGAAGUAAGUAGCUCCGCCAUGCAAGAUAGUGGCUAGCCUCCUAUGGCUUCCAAACUAUCACCACCCACCCCUUCUAGCCCUCCUUUAUCCAAAAACACACCCAAGCCUUCCCAAAAAACCCCAGAACGCUCCAAUCAUGAAACCGACCAUGCCAGAGGUCUUCGAUUGACCAUUGGAAAAACGUUUGGGUGCCGCUUGGAAGCUUGAAUUUAUUUCCACUAAGCUUAACUGAAGAAAACCGGUAAGCUCACCCCAAUCCUAAUUUAUUUUUCUAUUUUUGUAAUUAAAUCUGACUUUGUUUUUUUUUUUAGUUUAAAAUGGCAUCUUAUUAGAUUUCACUUAUGCUAUUUCUAUUCUGAUUGUGUGAAUGAUUUGUUGGCUUCAUUUUCGUUGUGAAACUAGACACUAGGUUUUGGUUGCUCUCAAUAGUUUCCAUGUUUCCUGCAAUUUCGAUUGUAUUCUUGACCUCUGAAUGUGAGUAUUGGUUCGUGGUUCACAUGUAAUCAGAAUUUGGUCAUAGUAUAAUAGCCCCAUAUUUGUCUUUGAUUUCAAAUAAUUUCUCCAUUUCUGAGUUGAAUGUCGAUUAAUAACUCAUAUGGUUUAAGCUUGAUUUCUUAGUGUGAGUGUUCAAUUGUGUUAACAGCAUGAUAGUUCUAUGUUCUUCUUCUAAAUUUGAGUAUUGGACUUGAUUUCUAAUUUGAUUUCUGAGAAUUGAUUGGCAUUUGUUCUUGAUUCAUAGCAUUAGGAUUGGUUAUAGCUUUUUGUCAUACCUCCUUUUUACACACCUACCCCGAAGGAUAAAAUGCGUAAGGGAGUUUUUCCAAUUAAAGUGACAUUAUUCGAAAUGGAAUUAUUUAUUCAAUUUUAUUCAGAGUCGCCACUUGGGAUAAUUUAUUUGGUGUCCCAAGUCACCGUUUUGUUAUAAAUCCUAAAUCGAGGAAAAGAAUGACUCCGUUUAACAGUCCAUGAACCAGAAAUUCGAGUAAGGAAUUCCAUUAACCCGUGGGAAGGUGUUAGGCAUUCCCGAGUUUCGUAGUUCUAGCACAGUCACUCAACUAUUAUAUUCAGCUUAAUUAUCUGAUUUUAGUAGAUGUUUAUUCUAUGAGAAUUUUUUAAUUAUUAAUCGCUUUAUUCAUUUUAGGAAUAUUUGCAACGUUAUUAAAACACGUCUCAAACCACGUCACAAAAAUGUACCCGGGUUCUCGACACAUGUUAACAUGGUUGAGACUUGGAUUUGGGUCAUAUAAAUGCGCACCCAAAAUUAGGAAGAUAUCUAAUUCAAAUAUUGCACCUAUAGAAACUACGCGUUUGGAAAUUCGUGGAAGGCGGUGAAAUUCGCUAAACAGCACCUCCGAAUUUCUAUGCAUUUUCAUUAUAGUUAAGGAGCCAACGUAGUGCAUGAUUUUGUUAGAGCGACUCACUUUAUUUUAGAAAAAGUAAACCUAAGAGACUAUAGUUUUCUAUUAUACUCGUCUCUAAAAAUACGUCCUAAUUAUUUCACACGAGAGUGAUAUAUUCAAAAGGAGAUUUAGCGCCUAUAUUUUAAGCCUCAUUCAUGGAUGGUUUUGCAAUUUGAGCUCCGUUAUCGGAAAUAGCAAGCCUAGGAAAUGCAUUCCUUUAUGUUUCACAACUAACAACAGUUUGAGCCUUCAACUUGAGCCCAGAAACGUUGGACUACAAGUCCAUCGUAGAGAAUGAUAACUACCUUUCGAUUUUCUAUACUACAAUUGUUGACAUUGUGGAAUUGAUCAUCGUUAAAACAUAUUGAAGAAAUAUUAGCAAAGAGAAUUCUUAUAAUGAUUUUAUAUAUCAACAAAUUAAUAAAUUAUGACUGAAAUUUCGAAUCUGGAAUCUAAGGAAAGAGAUUGAUGUACUCAUCAUUCAAAGUAUAUAUAAAUACAACUAUCGAAUCCCUACUACAGCAUAAAUCAUGAACACCAGGUAAAUUAGGACUAACCUAUUUUAAACCUACUGAAAUCUAAACAAAUUAAAUUUAUAGUCCAAGUACAGUCCAACAUCAUUACACGUUUAUGCAUAGUACAAUAGCAGAAAUACUACUGAAACUAAUAACAUUUAUAAUAUGACAUUGACAUAAAAUAGGGUCAUCUUCAUUAUCAAUUAUGAUCUCGAACAUUUAUAGAUAUGCUUUCCCAGAUUUUGAAUGAGAAUGGUACCUAGAAUUAUAGUAGAAAAGGUCCUAUGAGUAAAGCAAACGUAAGGCAAAGAAGCAACAACGGCCAAAUAACUAGUAAACCCAUGAACUCAGGAUGUUUUGAGGGGCAAAUAAUGAAAACAGGUCUCCCUAACAGCUCAAAAUGCACAUGCAAUCAAUCCAUCUUCGACUUAUAAUAAGUAGCACUUUGAUUAUUAAAGAAGACUCAUCCAGAAGAACAAACUUGGAAUGGAUUUCAGCUGAAUAUUAUAUGAAAGUGUAUCUCAAUGUGUAUCUUUUUCUAUAUCUGAAAAAUUGCCUUCUAGCUCUAGAAAAGUCUCUUUAAAAAUAAUCAGACGUCCCCUUUAUAACUAGAGCCUUAGGGCAACAAAAAGCUUUUAUUUUCCUUUAGUCCUUUACCCAUUUUUUCAGAUUUGCCCAAAUGAUCCUUGAUUUUCUAACUUGUGUCUCAUGUUUUGGGCAGAAUUAACAGAAAUUACGCUUUGGCCCUUUACUAGAAUGUUCCAGGAGUUUGUUAUAGGAUUCCCUAUGUUCAAAUACCCUUAAUACACCUGUCCUCUUUUGUUAAUUACUGGCCUAAGUGCUUUAAACCCUGUACCUAUCUAUUUGGUCAGAAACUGAUCCUAGUUAAAUACUUCAGGUUAUAAACAAAGAUUAUCAUUAGCAGCUAGGAUCAAACUCUGAAUUGCAGAUUAUAUUAUACUAUGCAAAAGAAAACGACCAAGGGUCGAAAUUUGAUCAAUGCAACAUAUAUACCCAGGCAAAUAUCAAUAAAUUACUCAGAAACAAUACAAAGCUAAACAACACAAAUUUCAGAAAUACAGGACACUAAUCAAUUUUGAACCAAAUAUGACCAAUUCUCAGCUCAGCAUAAUAAUUCAAAUAAGUCAACAAGAAUAGACUGUGACUUCAAAUGUUAAGCAGACCAUUCAGAAACAUGUUAUCCAGACUUAAACAAAAACAAGCAAGGAAGCAAAUACUCAGGAUAUGAGCAGAUGAAAACUUAAUGUAUUUAAACAAAUGAAAAAAUAAAGAAAAUCAAAAGCAAUUAGAAAAGAGAACCAGGACGAGUAUACAACUCUAGAUGGAAAUACAUACUCAGAAUUUUAAUGGCCAAUUCUGAGCUCAACACAAUAAUUCAAACAAGUCAACAAAUUGUGACUUCAAAUGUUAAGCAGACCAUUAAUAAACAAGUUAUCCAGACUUAAACAAAAAUGAACAAGGAAGCAAAUACUCGGGAUAUUUCAAAGAUGAGCAGAUGAAAACUUAAUGUAUUUAAGCGAAUGAAAAAAUAAAGAAAAUCAAAAGCCAUUAGAAAAGAGAAUCAGGACGACUAUACAACUUUAGAUUGAAAUACCUACUCAGAAUUUUUCAAAGAUGAACAGAUAGAAAACAUAAUAUACUUAACAAAUGCAAAAUAGAGAAGAUCAACAGAAAAAGAAAACAAGGAUGAGUGUAUGACUCUAGAUGGAAACACCUACUCAGAAUAUAUUGAAGAGGAACAGAUAGAAAACUUCAUAUACUCAAAAAAAUGAAUAAAAGAAAGCAAUUAGAAAAGAAACCAAUCAAGAUCAAAAAGCAGUAAAGCAAUAAAACUAAGAGAACUUAUCUUUUUUCAGUGUUGUAUCCCUAAAAUAGGACUCUUCAAAUCUCAAGGCUCUUUGACCCUUUCUGAGAGGGUUUUUGGUCUCUUGAGACCUUUGUUUCAUUUUUGGAGAAGAAGAUAGGGUGUCAGGCUAGGACUGAUUGACUUUGAGACGGGGUGGGGUUUCAGAUUCGAUUUUUGGCCAAACCUUGUUGUAUUCAAAGGUCGUUGGUCAUGGGGUUGUGGAUGGGAAGGUGAGAUGGUUACCAAGGACUAUUUUUGAGGGAUUCCAGUGAAUUUAGGGUUUGGGUCAAAAACUUCGAUUUGAUAUUCGAAGAGGUCUGUUAGGAUUCGAGGGAUAAAACUUAGAUGGUUGGGGAGAGGGGAACGAGGCGGUUUGGGGAUGUUACUUUGGGCAGGUUUGGGGUUGGUGACACCAUAGGUGGCGGAGCCGGCGACUAUUCUUUCGAAUAUUCGACGAGCUGGAGAGAUAUUUAAGGGAAUCUAAUAGAGGGAGGUGAAAGAGGAGGUUGAGAGGAUUCAGUGGUGUACAUUUAGGGCCAUUUGGUGGCCGGCAGCCGCCGUGAGGCGAUUUCCGGCAGCGGCGCCGGUGGUUGAGGGGUGGUGUUGCAGUGUUUGAGGGGCGGUGUUACACCGGUGUAUAUGCACGAGGAUGAUGACUUUGGUCUCCUGCAUAUACACAGGCGUUUGACAUAUAUAUUGGGCUUGGGGAAGGGGUUUCAGGGUCAUUGGAUUGAUGCAGAUGAACGGCCGAGAUUGAUCGCCCCAAAACAAUGUCGUUCUGAGGCGUCUUUUAUAUGGACUGGAUCAGAGACGGGUUUUUAGGCUGGGUUUUGGGUAUUUCAAACGUGUUCAGGGUUUGAGCCACCUAGGCGUAGCCUAAUUGUGGCCAGCCUGGUUUUAAAACAUUUCAAACUUAAUUUUUCAUUUUCGUUUUUUGGACUUCCAAAGUUUAUUUUAAAAUUCUUAAUUAGGCUGAAUUACAACUAAUAACCACUUAAACAUAAACAAAUAUGAAAAUUAAAAAUGAAAAUGCCAAAAAUGAAAAUUAAUAAUAAAAUGCCAAAAUAAACUCCUUUUUUUUGUAAUUUUAUAUUUGCAAAAUAAACCUUAACUACCAAUUAAUUUAACAAAAUAUGUGAAAUUAAAUCCUAAAUGCUUAUAUAAUUUUUUGUAUCUUUUUUGACUUGUCAUGCAUGCAUCAACGAAAAAACAAACUGAUAUGUGCAAUUAAAUCCUAAAAACAAAUAAUAAAAAAGGAAAAAUCCUAUUUUUGAGAAUUCUGUAGGAGUAAUUUUAACGGGGUAAAAAUCACAUGCUCACAGUGUUAAGACUAGAAGAAUUAGUUUUAGGAGUUGGAUUUGAUACCAAAUAAGUAAUUUCAGGGUAAUGUAGGGUUUUUCCCACCUAAUUUUGAUAAUUCUAGGAUAAAUAGGGGUAAUAGAGAAUUUUAAUCUAGUAUUGGCAAUUUUCAGAAUAAAAUAGGGGCAAUAUAGAGUUUUCAACCUGGCUUUGGUAAUAUUAGGAACAAAAUAAUGGUAGUAUAGGUAGUCUAUAAAGGGAUGACAUUGGUAGAAGCCUUUAGACCCUUCUAGAAGGGGUCUUUAACAUAAAAUCAGUAGUCUUAUUGCAAUAACUUAGGAAACAAGUCAAAAAAUGAGGGUCUAAGUAUGUAAAAUCUGGAAAUUGAAAGAGGGACCUUUAGUUAUAACAAAAUAAAAGUGGUGCCCUAGCCUUUGGCUAUAAAAGGGACAGAAAAUCAACCAAAAACAGAGGCUGGACACUCUGAAAAAUCACUGAAAAUCUCCAGCCAUAGUCAAAAAUUAGUUUUCCAAUUCAUGCAAUUAUAACAAAAAGAUCAAAAAAUACAUUAGUAUAGUUGGAGCUAUUAGAAGCUUUUCCCUCAAAUCUGGGCAUUUUAGGAAUCCAAAAAUCAGUUGAAAAUCAGCAAAUACUAUUCCAUUGAAGGUCAAACUAUUUUUAGAGUUUAUUUUGGUCUUUGUUCUGAGAUUUUCUUCACUUACUUGGUUUUAACUGUUUCCUGGAGUCCUGUGUCUGAUUGCAAGUCGUUUGGGAUCACUUGAAGUUUGUUGUGGUUCAAAUUUGGUCUUGGGUGCAAAGCUGGGCUGUUAGAUAGGUCUUAUUGCUGUGUGGUUGUUUUUUUUCAACUGCUGGGGUGCUUAAAUUGCUGCUGACCUUCCUUCUUCUUAUUUGCAUUCAACUUCCAGGUAUACAUUCUAACUCUUCAAGAUGUAAAGGGGAUUCGGAGAUGGAAUGAAAAGAAUAUUUGCUAAGUUCUUGUUAAUUAGUUUCGGUUAUUUUAGCAUGUUUUUUUGGGUGUGUAUUUGGAUAUUGAAUAUUUGAUUCGAACAAGGUAGAGUAACUUGAUCAUGCCCUCAUAAUUUUGAGCCAGGCUGUUAGAAUCAUAUUGGUCGUAUUACGUAGUGGUGAUGGUAUGGAUUUAAAUUUGAGGGCCACUCAGAUCCAAUCUGGGAUCCAUAAUUCAUGCUGCGUAUAAGGCAUUUUGAACUUGCGUAGUUUUAUUUAAGUAGAUAUUUAGUGUAGAAGUGUUGUUUAAUAUUCCGUUUGUUCAAAUUGGGAUUGCAACUGAACUUGGGUGAUGUAAUUAGCUGAUGGGUAUACCUUCCCUAUAUGCACAAUGCCAUCUCACAUAUUUGGUAUAUGAGUCGAAUAUGUUAAUCUUUGGAUCAGUGUUUGGAUCAACAUCAGUAUUAGGCAACUUUUGUUUACCUUUGAAUUUGCGAGCAAUCAAUCAUGAAUCAAGGAAUUAGCUCUUAGUCUGAUUUUUUUUUGUUUAGCAUGGUUUAGCGUCCACAAAUAUAGCCUUAAUGAGGCCUUCAGCCUAAAUGAAACGGCUGCUUUCCAGCAUCAAGGACUGGACUUCCAGGCUGGGCUUCGCUUGAGGCCCAGCUGUUUCAUAAAUUGAAUCCACAUAGAUGUAAUAUAGAUACAAUUGACAAUGAACCCUCGUAGCAAGCCUUUAGGGUCAUUUAAAAUACAAAUUAUGGUUAUGUGUGCGUUCACGUAACACAACCACGAUUCUAAAGUAAUUUGGAGGAGCGGCAAUAGAUAAAAAAAAAGUUAUAAUAUUCCGAGCAUUUAGUAUAAGUAUCCUUUAAAAUAGACUCGAGGUGCGCCGCAUCGAUUAAAAUCACAAACGCGUGGCCUUAUUUAGUUAUGUCUUUUUAAAAUACUUAGAACUCGGGACGAGCCGUUUAGCGAAUUUUCACGGUCUCUUGCAAAGUUAAUAACGCGUAGUUGCUUUAGGCACGUGUUUAAUAAUAUUACUUUCCUAAAUUCGGGUGCACAUUUAUGUGACCCAAAUCCAAAUUUCAACAAUGUUGGAAUAUAUCAAAAACCACGGGUGCAUUUAUGUGACGUGUUUCAAGACAUGUUUUAAUGACGUUACAAUACUCAUUAAAAAUAAUAAUAAAAGUGGUUAAAAGAUUAAAAAUGCACAUAGGUUCGUAAUUGUAAAAAUCAGAUAAUUUAAGCCAAAUAUAACAGUUGAGCGACCGUCCUGGAACCAUGGAACUCUGGAGCGCCUAACACCUUCUCCCGGGUAAACAAAAUUUCUUAUCCAGAUUUCUGGUUCGCGGACUGUUAAACAGAGUUAUUCUUUCCUCGAUUCGGGAUUCUAAACGGUGAGUUGGGACACCAUAAAUCUCCCAAGUUGAGACUCUGAGAUUUUCUUAAAUAAUUGAAUCCUGUUUGAUUGUCCUUUAAUUGGAAAAACUCCGUUAUCUACGCCCUUCGCCGGGUUGUAGUAGCCAAAAGGAGGUGUGAAAGCUCUAGCGACUCUGCUGGGGAAAGUGCCCAGAAUCUCUGAUUCAGGGUUCAAGAAUUCAAGCUUAGAAUUAUUGCUGUAUUUGGAUUUGUUUAUUAUUUGAUUUUACAUCUUGUCUUAAUGUGCAAAAUGAUGCUUUUACCGUUUUGAUAUUUUCUGAACUGUACACAUAAACUGCAAUGAAACCCUUCACUUCUCACCUCCGGGGAUGUGCUUACUGGUUGAGACUCCUUAUUCUGUUAGUGGCAUACCCUGAAAUAAGAAAUAGGCCGGACAAGUUACUAAUCCGGGUGGCCUUUUGGUUCUCGGUACGUACUCGACUUGAAUUGUCCGUUCGGGUGCACAAUCUAGACUCUUACCAAGGUUUUUGACUUAGAAUAACUUGACCUCAUGUCGGAUUCUUAGUAGGAACGCUUAUUUGCAUCUUGCAUUUGACCUAGGCGACUCAACACAGAUGUUGGGUCCGUAUAGGACAGGUGACCCGAAAUGAAAACACCAUCCUGAUGCAUAUUACGUGUUGCUCGUGCAUUUAGCUGCUUGGGAUUUGCAUUUUGACCGCCUUGAGAAUAAAGGAAAGAAAAUUGGGAAAAGGAGUAGUACUAAGGUUGGUUGAUAUUAAUCAUUUGUCUUGUAAAACCAAUGCUCAAAUAGCACUGAAAUGCUGUCGGAUUUUUCAAAGAAAAAAAAACAAAAAAACAAGAACAAAAAAACAAACAAAAGAAAUGGGGGAUUUUCAAAGUUUUCAUUUUGAUAGAUUGUUUUGCCCGAACAAUACUAGUUAAAUUCUCGCCGGAUAUGAGAUACGUAGGCAACCCCCAUCGGGUCCAACCUCCCUUUUUCAAAAAUAACCAAAAAAAUGUCCAAUAUUACUUAUUCGUCAAGUGAUGGAAGACCUCCGCCACCUCCAAGGGAGUUUAGCAUGCAAGCCUGCGGUUUGGCCGAAUGAUGACCCGCGAGUCCCAGGAUCACCUGAAGCAUUAAUGUAUUCAUAAGGAUCACCUGUCCUUUUGUCAAAAUAUAUUUAAAAGGCUAUCAUUUUAACCAGGAGUCUAUAUUUUCUUUUAUGCAUAGUUAGUUGUUUUUCGAGUCCGCAGUUCACUUUUUAUCCAAGCUUGUUAGUUUCUUGUUUAAUUUGUCAGUCCUUCGAUUCCUUGUAACCGAAGUCUUUAUUGUGAGGAUGGAAAUUUCCAAAAUAUUUUUAUGGUUCGCUUUUUGCUUGCAAUAACUACGUUCGGUCUGAUUCAUGCGCGGCAUGAUACAUAAGCAAUCUACAUAGGAUUCGACCAUAAUUGAAUAAAAUAAAGGAGAAAGUGAAUGAUAUAGAAAAGAGGGAGAGAACAAGGCUAAAACAAAAGGGAGCUUCCCAAAUAAAAGCUGGGAUGACGCAAGCAACUAAUGCAUGGAAGGACCAACUGUCAUUUAUGUGCAUUCAUACCCAAUAUUUAACCGCAUAUGUGUUAUAACCUAACCACUAACAAGUUUUUGGUGUUAUUCCAAUUUCAAAUUAGACAAGUGAUUAGUACUCGCAGAAUUCUGGCAACCUACUCCGACAACACAUGGUCUAAAAGCAAGCAAGUCAUGGCCAGUCAGGAAGCCGAUGUCAGAAUUAUUGACCCCUCGAAGGAAGUAGAAGAAUUGGAUGUUAAUGUUAUGAAGGAGGAGAUGUAUCAGCUUAAGCACCCAAUGGCUGAGCUGUACCAGGCAUGGGAAAGAGGACAGCCACCCCCGGCCUAUCCUGCUAAUCCAACCUUCAUCCCCCCACUGGCCCAAGCACCUGACCAGUCCGCCACUGACCCACCCUCAAGUUUUCCUAUUUAUUCAAAACAUCAGAGUAUGACCUCUAAACCACCACCAACUCCGCUACCCAAAGUCAGUCCUUAUCCUCCUCCACCAAUUGCUCCUAUCUAUGUGGCACCUCCACCUCCUACACUUCAUAGGUCGUCGAGUGGACCCCUGCUUCAAGCUUAUGACCCUCAAUACAAUCCACCAGAACCUGCUUACAAAACCCAGGAGCCUUACUCAUAUGCUUCCCGUCUCGAAAACCCGACAGGAGUCGAAAAAAUGAUCUAAAAUCCUUAGCAGGAAGAGAUGCUUAGAAAUGUCCAGAGUCUGCAACAAUCAUUCAGGGACAUGCGGAGAUUAAGUGGACAUGUGAGCAUGUCGUUCAAGGAUCUUGGUCUAUUACCAGGCGUGCAGUUGCCUCCAGGUUUCAAGAUGCCAAAAUUCAACUUAUAUGAUGGUCAUGGCGAUCCGCUCGCGCAUCUAAGGGGUUUUUCCAGGAAAAUAAGGGGAGCAGGGGAAAGAUGAAUUGUUAAUGGCAUACUUAUAGUCAGAGUUUAAGUGGAUCGGCGCUGGAGUGGUAUACUCGGCAGGAUCCCAAUCGGUGGUAUACUUGGGAUGACAUGGCACAAGCAUUUGCCUGCCACUUUCAAUAUAAUCUCGAGAUUAUCCCGGAUCAUCUAUCUAUGACAAAGCUGGAGAAGAAAAACAAUGAGAGUUUCAGGGAGUACAGUUUCUGGUGGAGGGAACAAGCAGCAAAAGUCAAUUUUCCCAUUAAGGAGAGUGAGAUGGUUGACUAUUUUCUACAGGCAUUGGAACAUACCUAUUUUGGACAUUGGGUGUCAGCAGUGGGAAAGUAUUUCAACGAUGUGGUCAAGAUGGGAAGUAUGGUCGAGGAAGGCCUCAAAUCCAAUAAAAUCAUGAGCGACUCCACGAUUAAGGCAACUACUCAGGCCAUCCAAGGUGGAUCUAGGGGAACAUUAGGAAAGAAGAAGAAGGAGGAAGUAGCGAUAGUGGAGUCGAGAAUUUGGUUCAGACCUCGGACGCCAUCUCAUUAGGCCCAACCCCGUCCACAUCACCAAACAUACCCAUAUGCUCUAUACGUCCCACCACAAUAUUACUAUCCACCACCAGAACCCCGCUUCUUAGUCCAUCACGCGCAAGCAUAUACACAUCCUCCCGCUCACGCACAAUGGCGUGCGCCACCCCCUCAAAACACCUACCCAACUCCAUAAAAUCGUUACCCGCCUCCAAGAGCUUACCAAUAACCCCCGAAGCUUGCCUUCCGAGUCAAUCAAGUCCUGAGAAAUAAGAGGGUACAGAAAAAGAAGACUUUCACUCUGCUGGGAGAAAUCUACACUAGCGUAUUCCACAGGCUGUGUCAACUGGUUAUGUUGAGACCAAUUGAAGCGAAACUGCCAAAUCCUCCCCCGAAGAAUUUAGAUUAUUCAGUCAGCCGUGAAUACUGUUACGGUGCACCUGGGCAUGACACUGAAAAGUGUUGCCAUUACAAAAACACUAUCCAAGAACUUAUUGACUCCCACCGGAUUGAAGUACAGACCCCAGAGGCACCCAAUAUUAACCAAAACCCGCUGCCGGUCCAUCAUGAAACCAACAUGAUUGAAAAUGUGGAAAGAAUGGGAGAGUCCGGAAGGACUUCACAAAUGGUAAUGAUGAUCAAAGACAGUGAGUAUAAGCCAACUGAGGUGGCAAGCAGUGAGAAGCUAGUAACUGGGGCAAAAGAAAAAGGCAGCAAGCCUGUCAUAGUUUAAGGGAGCUCAGCAUGCGCGGUUGCGCCAAAGCAAGAAUAGGCAAAAGUAACAGUACAUGGGGCAGUUAUAGAACCUGUCGAUGUUUUGGAAGGUGUCCACAUAGAGCUUGUUAUUGCAAAACCAUCAAUCCAUCCACCAAUCAUCAACAGCAAGGCCAUUCCUUGGAGACAUGAGCAAGCAAGUGAUGUAUAAGGGAAAAGAAGUCAGGGAGGAAGUGUAUGAGGCCCGGGGUUUAACUCGGUCAGGAAGGUACUUUUCCCAUAAGAAUUGAGAAAGAGAAGAAUCUCUAAAGAUAACCAAGAACCAAUGAAGAAAAAUGUGUCAGAAGAAGAAGAGGAAGAGUUCUUGAAGAAAAUGAAAAUGCAAGACUACUCCAUCAUAGAGCAGUUAAGGAAGACACCAGAUCAGAUUUCCUUGUUAUCCUUACUGAUCCACUCAGAUGAAAACCGUGGGGCAUUAAUGAAGAUUCUGAACGAAACACAUACCGCAGAUAAGAUAAUGGUGAUCAUUUAGAAAAGAUUGCAAACAAGAUAUUCGAGGUAAACCGGGUCACAUUCUCUGACGAUGAAAUCCCCAUGGAGGGCACUGAGCACAACCGAGCUCUUUAUCAGACCAUGAAAUUUGAAGAUGUUGUGGUUACCCGAGUUUAGUCGACAACAGGUCCAGUGCAAAUAUUUGUCCACUAUUUGCAUUGACCAAGCUGAAGGUAAAAAACGAAAGGGUCUGCAAGAAUAAAAUCUGUGUUUGAGGUUUCCAUGGUGGAGGAAAAGACACCGUAGGAGAUAUAGUGCUGGAAGUGACCAUAGGACCCUUUGAGUUAACCAUGGAAUUACAAGUGCUGGAUGUAGAAGUCUCCGAUAACUUGUUUUUGUGUAGGCCUUGGAUUCAUGCAGCCAAAGAGGUGCCAUCUACGCUGUAUCAGAUGGUCAAAUUUGAAUAGGACAGGCGAGAGAUUGUGGUGCAUGGUGAAGAAAAUCAGUGUACUUCAGGUGACAUGGUCGUACCUUUCAUUGAAUUUGAGGACCGCAAAGGGCCAUGGGUCUACCAGGUGUUUGAUACGGUGUCACUGCAGAAAAUCCCAGAAGGUGAGGUUGUCCUUACCCCAAAGAUAGCAACUCCAUCCGUCAUGGUGGCUUCAGAAAUGUUGAAAAAUGGUUUCAAGCCCGGCAAGAGUUUGGGGGAUUCCCUGCAAGGCAUUGUGCAACCAGUGUCCCUCCCCAAAAAUCUGGACACAUUUGGCCUAGGGUUCAAGCCCACAGCCGACGAUAUAAGGUGAGUCAGGAAGCUAAGGCAGACGGCUUGGGUUCUCCCAAAACCCAUCCCAAGGUUGUCCAAAUCAUUCAUCAAAUCUAGUAGAAGCAAUGGCUCAAGACCAAAGAUUUCCGGCCCGCUGAUCGACACGGACAGAGAUCUUGAUAAAAGAUUGGAAAGACUGUUCAAUGAGGUAAAUAUGGUCGAGGCAGGAGAAGGAUCCAGCAUGGCAGAUGUGCAUUUUGUGGGAGAAUGCGCAAAAAUCAAUAACUGGGAAGCCACUCCUCUUCCCACUCUGAGGGAUUCGUGGUAGUCGACUUUGACGUUCCUUUCAGUCUAGUUUGGAUUAGCGUCAGAGUUGUCAAUUCAUUUGUUACUUCCGUCUUUUUGGAUGUGUAAACACUGUUAUCUUUGAUUCUAAUGAAAUGCAAUUUUCCUUUCAGCAAUCUUGAUAAUUUCCAUUUCUCUUUACUUUUCUUUCUUUUCUCUUUUGUACAGUUAUUUUUAUGCUGGUUCCACUGAUCUGACAUGCAUAAGGACUCCUUGGCCCAAUCUUCAAAAUAGGUCUUGUUCAGAAAUAAUAAUUCAGGAAAUAGAACAUGAGGAUGAGCCAGGGUAUGAUGAGGAAGGGGCAUGGGAUGAGAUUAGUAAAGAGUUGACCCAAUUCAAGGAGAAACCAAAACCGAACAUGAAUGAUACCGAGGAAACCAAUUUAGGAAACACGGAUAAUAUCAGAGAAACAUAAAUAAGUGUCCACCUGGAGCCACAGCUCAGGGAAGAAAUAAUUGAAGUGUUGCUUGAGUACAAAGAUGUCUUUGCGUGGUCCUACGACGACAUGACCGGAUUGACCAGUGAUAUGCUGGUCCACAAGUUACCGACUGACCCAUCCUCCCCGCUUGUCAAGAAAAAGUUGAGAAAGUUCAAAAUUGAUGUGAGUGUUAAAAUUAAAGAGGAAGUGACCAAGAAGUUUGAGGGAAAAAUCAUCCGAGUCACACGAUACCCCACCGUUAAAAUCAAAGAGGAAGUAACCAAGAAAUUUUAGGCAAAAGUCAUCUGAGUCAUACGAUACCCUACUUGGUUAGCUAAUGUUGUGCAUGUGUCGAAGAAGGACGGUAAAACCAGGGUGUUGAUUACCAUGACCUCGAUAAAGCAAGUCCAAAAGACAACUUUCCUAUGCUGAACAUCAACAUAUUGAUUGACAAUUGUGCGAAGAAGGAGAUCCGGUGAUUCCUGGAUUGUUACGGAGGACACCACCAGAUCUUGAUGGAUAAAGAAGAUGCGGGGAAAAUAGCAUUCAUCAUACCGUGGGGGACAUAUUGUUAUAGAGUCAUGCUUUUUGGUUUGAAAACAUAGGGGAAACAUAUAUGAGGGCCAUGACAACCAUUUUUUAUGAUAUGAUCCACAAAGAAAUCAAGGUUUAUGUGUGAUAAUCAAGUCCAGAAAGCAAUUUGAUCAUGUCAAAGACCUGAGGAAAUUCUUCCAAAGGCUCUGCAGGUAUGACCUCAAACUCAACCCGGCAAUGUGCAUUUCAGGUCCCCUGGGGGAAAGUUGGUAGGGUUCAUAGUCAGCCGCCGAGGCAUUGAAUUAGACCCAUCAAAAUUCAAAGCUAUACAGGAGCUGCCGCCACCAAGGAACAAAACAGAGGUGAUGAGUCUACUGGGAAGAUUAAAUUACAUCAGUCGGUUCACUGCUCAGCUCAUAACCAUCUGCGAGCCCAUCUAUAAGAUAUUGAAAAUGGAUGCUGUGGUAAAAUGGACUGGAGAGUGUCAAGAGGCUUUAGAUAAGAUAAAGGAAUAUUUAUCGAACCCACCAGUAUUGGUCCCGCCAGAACCAGGAAAGCCUUUGAUCUUAUAUUUGACAGUUUUGGACAACUCAUUUGGGUGCGUGUUGGGUCACCACGAUGUUACCGUGAGGAAAGAGCACGCCAUAUACUACCUUGGAAACAAAUUUACGGCCUAUGAGGUUAAGUAUACUCAUCUUGAAAGGACAUGCUACGCCUUGACGUGGGUAGCCCAAAAGAUAAAGCAUUACUUGUCAUCAUAUACCACUUAUCUCAUCUCACGAUUGGACCUAUUGAAAUACAUUCUCCAGAAGCCCAUGCCAACAGGAAGGCUCACGAAAUGGAAAAUCUUGCUCACUGAGUUUGACAUUAUCUACGUGACUAUGAAUGCUACGAAGGCACAAGCAUUGGUGAACCAUUUAGUGGAGAAUCCAAUAGAUGAAGAUACGAGCCCUUGAACACAUAUUUCCAUGACGAGUAAGUGAUACAUAUCAAUGAAGUGGAACGGGAUGAGAAGACGGGAUGGAAACUGUUCUUUGAUGGUGCUGUCAACAUGAAAGGCGUUGGGAUAAGAGCGGUGCUCAUUUCUGAAGAAGGGAAUCAUUACCCAGUCACAUCUCAACUCCGCUUCUAUUGCACCAACAACAUGGCAGAAUAAGAAGCAUGUAUUCUGGGUUUGAGAUUAGCAGCGGACAUAGGUGUCCAGGAAGUCUUGGUCUUGGGAGUCUCGGACCUUCUAGAACAUCAGAUUCAAGGGGAGUGGGAAACAAGAGAUAUAAAACUCAUACCACAGCGGCAAUGCUUACAUGAUCUCUGUCAACGAUUCCGGUCAAUAGAGUUCAGGCACAUCCCUAGAAUUCACAAUAAGGUUGCUGACGCCAUGGUUACUUUGGCGUCAAUGUUACAUUAUCCGCACAAGACUUAUGUUGAUCCGAUACAUAUCCGGGUCCAUGAUCAACAUGAUUAUUGCAAUAUGGUGGAAGAAGAGAUUGACAGCGAAACUUGGUUCCACGACAUCCAGGAGUAUAUCAUGAGAGGUGUGAACCAUGUACAAGCCACGAGUGACCAGAAGAGAACAAUCCGUCGUUUAUCAAGUGGGUUUUUCUUCAGCGGAGGAAUACUAUACAAAAGAACGCCAUAUCUUGGUUUGCUCAGAUGCAUUGAUGUUGGAUAGGCGACAGCUAUCAUGAAUGAGAUGCAUGCUGGUGUAUGAAGGCCAUACAUGAGCGGGUAUGUUUUUGCAAAGAAGAUUCUCCAAGAAGGACAUUAUUGGCUCACCAUGGAGUAAGAUUAUAUCAGCCAUGUGCGCAAAUGCCACCAGUGUCAGGUACACGGAGAACUAAUUCACUCUCCUCUGUCUGAAUUGCAUACAAUGUCGGCACCAUGGACUUUCGUUGCUUGGGGCAUGGAUGUCAUCGGGCCCAUUGAGCCAGCAACUUCUAAUAGACACAGAUUUACCCUGGUUGCUAUUGACUAUUUCACCAAAUGGGUUGAAGACAAGACCUUUAAAGCAGUGACCAAGAAGGUCGUGGUCAACUUUGUUCACACAAACAUCAUUUGUCGGUUCGGGAUCCCCAAGACUCUCAUCACUAACAAUGGGGAAAAUCUCAACAAUCACUUAAUGAGAGAGGUGUGUCAACAGUUCUAGAUCACACAUCGAAAUUCUACCCUGUACCGCCCCAAGGAGAACAGAGCAGUUGAGGCGGCCAAUAAGAACAUAAAGAAGAUACUAUGUAAAAUGGUGGAAAAUUCCAGGCAGUGGCAUGAGAAGCUGCCUUUUGCAUUGUUAGGCUAUCUCACGACUGUCUACACCUCGGUAGGGGCCACUCUGUACUUGUUGGUGUAUGGAACAGAGGCUGUAAUCCCGGCAGAAAUUGAAAUCCCCUCUCUUCGAAUCGUGGCCGAAGUAGGAAUCUACGACAAAGAAUGGGUCGGAGCUUGUUUGGGACAAUUGAGUCUGAUUGACGAGAAAAGCUUGGCGGCAGUCCGCAACCGCCAGUUGUGUCAACGAAGGAUGGCCAAGGCAUAUAAUAAGAGAGUACGCCCCAGAAAGUUCGAAGUAGGUCAAUUGGUAUUAAAACGCAUCCACCCUCACCAGGCCGAGGCAAAGGGCAAGUUCGCUCCAAACUGGCAAGGACCAUUCAUCAUAUCAAGAGUAUUAUCCAAUACAGCAUUGUAUCUGACGGAUGUGGAAGGAAAAUGUGUGGAAAUGGCUAUCAAUUCGGACGUUGUCAUAAUAUAUUAUGUAUGAUUUUCUUUUAGAUCAUUGACAAAUGUUUAUACUUGGCAUAUUUUAAAAUUUUAAUGAUGAAGGCAUUUUAUUCUGCUAUAUAAAUACUCCAACCUUUGCUAACCUCUUUGAGCUUAAGUUAUUUUCUUUUCAUACCCCUCUUUCGAAAUCAAUUACCAAAUUCGAAAGCAUAAGUGUGAGAAAGCAAUAAAAGGAAAAAGAAAAAAAUCAUGAAAAGAAUGGAAAAGGAAAAAAAAGAACGGAAAAGAAAGAAAAGAAAGAGAAAAAGAAAGAAAUGAGAAGAAUAAAAACAAUGAAUUAAAAGAAAAGAGAAAAGAAAAAAGAAAAAACAACAAACAAAAUAAAACAAAGAGAAAAGGAAAAGAAAAGAAAGAAAACAAAACAAAACAAAAAAAAGUAGAAAAAGAACAACAAAAACAAGGAAUCGAUAUGAACUACAUUUAACCUGAUUCCUUUUAAAAGGAUACGUAGGCAGCCUCACGGUUCGGUCUCAUCAAAAUAAAAAUCCAAACGUCCCUAAGUAAGAGACUGGGGCAGAAUUGAUGGUUGUUGUAAAAAUGGGAUUCCGAAAGUGGUAAUUCUGAACUCAUUUGAAUUGUUUUGAGCCUUUGAUAUCUUUCCUUUCUAACCCUAUCCAAAAGCCCAUGUUGCGGUCCUAAGAAAGACCUUCUGAUCAGUCUUCAAAAUAUGCCAAUUUGAGCAAGUAGAAGUGAUUCAUGUCAGUGACAACACUCCGAGAUAGGCAAGAGAGAUAAUAAAACGAGAGAGUCUUAUUGGUGAAAACCUUCACGAGAACCAUCAGGUGACGAGAGUUUGAGAGAAUAAAUGAGAGAGUCUUAUUGGUGAAAACCCUCGCGGGAACCAUAAGGCGAUGCAAGUUGAGAAAAUAAAUGAGGGAGGCUCAAUUGGUGAGAACCUUCACAAGCACCCUAAAGCGAAAGUGAGGCAAAAAGCAAAACCCAGAAAGGGGUUGUCAGUGGAUGAACAUUGUAAGGCAAGCCAAGUUACGGUUUGGUUGAAGAAACCGGGUUAGAAGGGUCACAACAACAAAAAACACGGCAACAGAAGGUCGGUCAUCGAAACGGAUUGGGUCGACUAGGACGAAGUGCAUGUCAUGAUCAUGAAAACCAGUUGUUUUCUUUAGAUAAGUCUUUUUUCUUUUCUUUCAACAGUCAGGGAGUCUGGAAUUCUUUACCCUAAAUACCAUUUGGAGUCUUUGCAUUUCAUCUUUCUUUCGAGUCUAUAAAGUUUUUGUUUAAGCAAAUGAGAGGGACUUCAAAGCCGAUUAUCCAUUCCCAAAGGGACAAAGUGCAUGACGCCCAAAAGCGUAAUAAAGAUAACAAGUGGGGAACAGCAAGGGGAAGGCUUCAUAAAAAUUUCAACUGAGGGAAGAGACAAGAGUCGGGAGAGUUAAGGAGUACCACAUGAAAAGGGGCAUGCGAAGUAAAAUCAAAAAGUUUCUAGGGUUAGCGAGCAUCAUACACCGAUUGAGCUAUCUCAGAUAGGACGUAAAGUUGGCAUAACACGAAGACGGGAAAGGCUGCAAGUUUGCAAGGUUUGACUAAGCAUAAUACAUCAGUCGUCGGAGAAAGACAUAAAGAAUUCCAGCAAAGGAUCAAGAGCUCAACACAAGGUGGGGAGCAAAGUGAGGACAUAAAAGAUCAGAAGUCAGCCAAGCAUCACAAAUGGACCAAGUAAUCUCAAGAAAAGGGGUAAGGAGUUUUGGCAAAGGCUAGGAAAUGAGACGCCAAGAUGAGAAACAAAACAAAGCCACAAGGGUCAGAGGAUCAACCAAGUAUAACAUAUUAACUCAACAAUCCUCCGAGAGGGGUAUAAGGCUUCUGAUAAAAGAGUAAAAAACACAACACAAAGGUGGAAAUGGCCAUGAGAGCUGACCCAGCAUGAUAUAUCAACUCAUCAAUCAUCAGGGAAGGAUAUAAAGAAUUCUGGCAAGGGAUUAAUAAUGCAACACAAUGAUGGGAGGAAAAAUAAAACCUAGAGGUAUCGAGGGGUCAGCUAAGCAGUUCAAGCGACUCAUCGUCAAUUUGGGCAAUGGAACACAACGGAACACGACAAUGGGGAGGCCGCUUUCAACAAGAAUGUCGCGAGCCAACCAUCAACACAAGGGCACAAAAUUUUUAGAAAGCCUAAGGGAGGCCGUCUACAGGAGAAGGCAGGUACACGGCGGGUAUGGUCAAAAUCUCAGGGCUCACCUGGAAGAGGGAUUUAGUUAAACUCAAAGGGACAUAGUCCAACCUAAACACACUCCCCAACAAAGAGCACAAGGGGAUAAAACUUUAACCAGCAAACCCCAAAAGAAACAGCCGAGGGCUAAAAGAGACAUAGAAGUUAAGAUGGAACGCAGUCUAAAACUCAAACAGGUGCGAGUGACAGGGGCAAGCACCAACACCUUCCCCAUUAAGAGUCGCAGAAGCCCUCCUGGACAAUAAUCACUUGCAAGAACAGCCAGAAGUUAGAAUUGGAAUUUAAGGCAGAACCUUCAGGACCCUCCUGAAAAAUGGGACUUAGAUUAGAUAUUUCCCCAACAAGAGUCAUCAAGACCCUCCUGAAAAAUGGGACUUAGAUUAGAUAUUUCCCCAACAAGAGUCAUCGGGGCCCUUCUGAAAAAUGGGACAUAGAUUAGAUGCUUCCCCAGCAAGAGUCGACAAGAGUUUUCAAGACCCCCCUGGAUAAUGGGACAUAGCCCUAAGUACUAACCCCCAGCAAACACAUCUUAUCAUCUAAUUAAGAGUUGUCAUGACCUGCCUAGAUAAUGGGAAGUAGUUUUAAUCACCAGUCACUAGUAGACCCCCCAUCAGACAUAACUCAAAACAAGACAUAGUGGAAAAUAAUACCUUCUACGAAAUUUAAAAUAGUCUUAAACUUUUCAUCAGUUAAGAAUUGUCAGGACCCUCUUGGAUAAUGGGACUUAGCUUAUGUUUAUAGAUAUUUGAUAAAGGGAUUUGAUUAACACUCACGAAUCCACUCAGCAUCAAACUGGGGCAGGAAGAAUUUUUGUGUUUCGUUUGUUUUGUUGUGAUUAGGAACACAUGCAGCAGUCUCAAGAAACAUCUCCAAGUCGCGAGAUUUGGUAUGAUAAUCAGGUGGGCAACCACCUGUAGAACAAGGGAAUUUUUUCAAAAUUUCAAGUUUUGGUAAUCAGGCGCUCACCUGUAGAACAAAGGAAUAUUUUCUAAAAUUUUAUGUUUUUGCAGUCAGGCGCCCACCUGUAGAACAUUGGAAUAUUUUUCAAAUUUUACGUUUUUGCAGUCAGGCUUCCACCUGUAGAACAAGGGAAUAUUUUUAUAAUUUUAAGUUUUGACUGUCUGGCGCCCACCAGUAGAACAAGGGAAUAUUUUUCAAAAAUCUUAUGUUUUUGCAAUCAGGCACCCACAUGUAGAACAAGGGAAUAUUUUUCAAAGUUUUAAGUUUUGCAAUCAGGCGACCACCUGUAGAAUAAGGGAAUAUUUUUCAAAUUUCUAGUUUUGGAAAUUAGGAGCCCACCUGUAGAAGAAGGAAAUAUUUCUCAAAAUUCAUGUUUCGAAAGUCAGGUGCCCACCUGUAGAACAAGGGAAUAUUUUUCAAAAUUUUAAGUAUUUGCAAUCAGGCGCCCACCUGUAGAACAAGGAAUAUUUUUCAGAAUUUUAAGUUUUUGCAAUCAUGCGCCCACCUGUAGAACAAGGGAAUAUUUUCAAAAAUCUUAAAUUUUUGCUAUUAGGCGUCCAUCUGUAGAACAAGGGAAUAUUUUUCAAAAUUUUAAGUUCUUGCAAUUAGGCGCUCACCUGUAGAACAAGGGAAUAGUUUUCAAAAUUUUAUGUCUUGACAAUCAGGCGCCCACCUGUAGAACAAGGGAAUAUUUUUUAAAAUUUUAUGUUUUGGCAAUCAGGCUCCCACUUGUAUAACAAGAGAAUACUUUUCAAAAAAUUUCAGGCUUUGGAAAUCAGGCACCCACCUGGAGAACAAGAGAAUAUCUAUUUCAAGUUCUAGUAGUCAGGCGCCCACCUGUAGAACGAGGGAAUGCUUUCAACGGAAUACAUGUCAAGUCCAACAAUUUGGCAUCAGACAUGAAGGAAGAAAAGGCAAGCAGUCAGCGAGGCCACAAGGUGUUCGCAGAAAGAAAUACAAGGCAACAAAGCAACAAGGAUCGAGAUUGAAGAUAGCAUCAAGGAAGAAAAGGCAAGCAGUCAACAAGGCCACUAGGAGUUCGCAUGAAGAAAUACAAGGCAACAAAGCAACAAGGAUCAAGAUCGAGAUUUAAGACGUAAAUAGGCUUUCCUUUGUAGCCCGUAUCUUAUAGGUUAGUCUAGUUUUCUUUUUGUUUUUCAUAUGGUAUAAUAAGGAGGUCACCAAGUAGUAACAGCAGCAUCAGUAGUGCAAUCACAGCUUCUGGUAGUCCCAGCUACCAAACACUGCAGAACUACACUGACAUGAUUCCUCUUUAGUCGAGGAUAUGUAGGCAAUCUUUGAAGCAGUAUUCGGUCAGACAGUUUUCAAAAUGCUUCUCAUGGAAUGCAAAGCAGGCAAAAAUCUCUCUGUUGCUCACUUAUCUUUGCCCGAAAAUCCUUCGUGUCUCCGAGAAAAGAGGGGCAACUAUGAGCACGUGAUUUUUGCCUCACUUGAAAUGUUCCUAUAAAUUCGUUAAACUAGGAUUUUUCUUUUAUUAUUUGAAUUGUUAGGAAUUAAUUAUGUGAUUUCGUAUUUAUUUGCAUUUUUUCUUUUAUUAUUUGAAUUUUUAGAAAUUAAUUGCAUGAUUUUGUGUUUAUUUUCAUUUUUCUUUCAUUAUUCGAAUUUUUACGGGAUAAUUGUGUGAUUUCAUGUUUAUUUGAAUUUUCCUUUAUUAAUUGUGUGAUUUUGUGUUUAUUUACUGCUUUCGUUUAUUAUUUUAAUAUUUAGAAGUUAAUUGCAUAAUUGUGUGUUUGUUUGCAUGUUGAGUGCAUUUUAAUACACAAAAAAUACAAAAAUGGCAUGGUUGCAUUUAGGAUUUAAUUUUUGCAUGUUUAGUAAUAUUAAAAAUGAGAAAAAUAACAAAAUUGGCUAUACCUACAUUUGCCUUAUUUUCGUUUGAAUUUUAGAAUUUAGGAUAUUGUAGAGAUUAAUUAGUUUAUUUUGUGGAGGAUAAAAUCUAUUUUGGUUUAUUUUUAUUUCUUUUUUUAAAUCUGAAAAAAAACAAAAUAAAAAAGGGAGAAGAACAAAUAAGUGUAUAGGCCUAGGUGUUCUAUAAGGCCAUAAUUUGGGCCACAUUCCCCAACCCAAACCAUAAACCCACUUAACCAGACCCAAGCUUGACUCCUUCCCAGUCCAAUAACACCAAGUCCAAAACGACGUCGUUGGACGCCCGUUAAUAUCAACCAUACAUACUCCUCGAUCCAACGGCUCAGAUUGAGCCUUACAUUUUCAAUAUAACUAUCCAAACCCCUGUAGUAGCACAAAUACCAAAGGUCACCCUCCUUGUACUAAUUUCCCACCGGUGUAACACCGCUACCAAUCCACCGUACCACCACCGUCCGCUGCCGGCAGAAAAUCACCGCCGCCGCCGGCAUAACUCCAAUAGCCUCCAAAUUUACACCCCAGAAUCCUUGUUGUCUCCUCUUCCCAACCCUUCUAAGAUCGCCCUUCGAAACCCACCCCAACCUGUCGAAUAUUUUUCCAAAGUUCGGCAUCUCCACCGUCCACGGCAGCGCCCGGUGACCAACGGCCCCCAAAUUAACACCAUGGGACCCCCUCACUCUCCUCUUCCAAACCCUACCAUCAGUCACCCUCAAACAUGACCCCAUCCCUUCGAAUGUUCACCUGAAGUAGGCAGGUCCGCCAUGGAAUGUGGUGGCUGGCCUCCUAUGGCCUCCAAUCUAUCACCACCCACCCCCUCUUGCCGUCCUCUAUCCAAAAACACACCCAAGCCUUCCCAAACAAAUCCAGACCCCUCUAAUCUUGAAACUGACCAUUCCUGAGGUCUGAGAUUGACCAUUGGAAGGACGUUUGAGUGUCACUUGGAAGCUUGACUUUAUUUCCACUAAGCUUAAUUGAAAAAAACUGGUAAGCUCACCCCAAUCCUAAUUUGUUUUUCUAUUUUUGUAAUUAAGUCUGACUUUGGUUUUUUAGUUUAAAAUGGCAUCUUAUUUGAUUUCAAUUCUUCUAUUUCUAUUCUGAUUGUGCAAAUGACUUGUUGGCUUCAUUUUAGUUGUGGAACUAGACACUAGGUUUUGGUUGCUCUCAAUAGUUUCCAUGUUUCCUGCAAUUUCGAUAGUAUUCUUGACCUCUGAAUGUGAGUAUUGGUUGGUGGUUCACAUGCAAUCAGAAUUUGGUAAUCGUAUAACAGCCUCAUAUUUGUCUUUGAUUUCAAAUAAUUUCUUGAUUACUGAAUUGACUGUCGAUUAAUAACUCACAUGGUUUAAGCUUGAUUUCUGAGUUUGAGUGUUCAAUUGUGUUAACAACGUGAUAGCUGCAGUUUUCCAUGUUCUUCUUCAAAAUUUUAGUAUUGACUGGAUUUCUAAUUUGAUUUCUAUGGAUUGAUUGGCAUUUGUUCUUUAUUAAUAGCAUUAGGAUUGGUUAUAGUUGUUAAGACUAGAAGAAUUAGUUUUAGUAGUUGGCUUUGAUACCAAAUACGUAAUUUCAGGGUAAUGUAGGGUUUUUCCCACCUAAUUUUGAUAAUUCUAAGAUAAAUAGGGAUAAUAUAGAAUUUUAGUGUAGUAUUUGCAAUUUUCAGAAUAAAAUAGGGGCACUAUAGAGUUUUCAACCUGGCUUUGGUAAUAUUAGGAACAAAGUAAGGAUAGUAUAGGUAGUCUAUAAAGGGAAGACAUUGGUAGAAGCCUUUAGACCCUUCUAGAAGGGGUCUUUAAUAUAAAAUCAGUAGUCUUAUUGCAUUAACUUGGGAAACAAGUCAAAAAAUGAGGGUCAAAGCAGGUAAAAUCUGGAAAUGGAAAGAGGGAACUUUAGUUAAAAAAAAAUAAAAGUGGUGCUCAAGCCUUUGUCUAUAAAAGGGACUGAAAAUUAUUCAAAAAGAGAGGUUGGACACUUUGAAAAAUCACUGAAAAUUUCCAACCAUAGUCAAAAAUUACUUUUCCAAUUCUUGCAAUGAUAACAAAAAGAUCAAAAAAUACAAUAGUCUAGUUGGGGCAAUUAGAAGCUUUUCCCUCAAAUCUAGGCACUUUAGGAAUCCAAAAAUCUGUUGAAAAUCAGCAAAUACUGUUCCAUUGAAGGUCCAGCUAUUUUCAGAGUUUAUUUUGGUCUUUGUUUUGAGAUUUGCUUCACUUACUUGGUUUUAACUGUUUCCUAGAGUCCCUAGGUCAGACUGUAAGUCGUUUGGGGUCACUUGAAGUUUGUUGUGGUUCAAAUUUUGUCUUGAGUGCAAAGUUGGGCUGUUAGAUUGGUCUUAUUGCUGUGUGGUUGUUUGUUUUCAACUGCUGGGGUGCUUAAAAUUGCUGCUGACCUUCCUUCUUCUUAUUUAAAUUCAAUUUCCAUGUACACAUUCUAACUCUUCAAGAUGUAAAGGGGAUUCGACGAUGGAAUGAAAAGCAUAUUUUCCCAGUUCUUGUUCAUUAGAAUCCGUUAUUUUAGCAUGUUUUUUUUUUUGGGAUGUAUACUUGGAUAUUGAAUAUUAGAUUCGAACAAGGUAGAGUAGCUUGAUCAUGCCCUCAUAAUUUUUAGUCGGGAUGUUAGAAUCAUGUUGGUCGUAUAACGUAGCGGUGAUGGUAUGGAUUUAAAUUUGAGGGCCACUCAGAUCCAAUCUGGGAUCCAUAAUUCUUGCUACGUGGUCCAAUUCUGAUCGGUAAUAAAUACCGGGACUUUGCAAUAUUUGAUUGAUCACAAUUCUAAUAACUGGCUGUUUUGAUCCUUUGAACAACUCGAUGAAUUUAGUAGAUCGUUUUAGGAGGUCCUAAUGACUAUAGAUCGAACCUAUCCAAUUUUUACAGUACAAUGGUUGGCUGUUCACGGCCUAGCUGUACCUACCGUGUUUUUGGGAUCAAUAUCAACAAUGCAGUUCAUCCAACGAUAAACUUAAUCCGAAUUAUAGAGCUACGGCACAAUCAAACUCGAACGAACAAAAUGUUGAAUUGAAUCGUACCAGUCUCUACUGGGUGUUAUUACUCAUUUUUGUACUUGCUGUUUCAUUUUCCAAUUAUUUCUUCAAUUAUGAAAACGAAAGAGAAUCAAUAAGAUUCUCUUAGCUCAUUCGGAAGGAUCUCAUAAUUUAAUUAUCCAUGACUGUUUAUGUCUCUAGCAUGACCACUUGAUGAAAUCUGGAGGGAAGUGGGGUAAAUGGCCGAUACUACUAGAAGGAUUCCUCUUUGGAUAAUAGGUACUGUAGCUGGUAUUCUUGUAAUCGGUUUAAUAGGUAUUUUCUUUAUGGUUCAUAUUCCGGAUUGGGUUCUAUAUAAAAUGGUGGAUGUACAAAUCCACAACGGAUCCUGUCCUUCAAGUCGCACGUUGCUUUCUACACAUCGUUACAAACGAAGUUUUACCAUAACAUUCCUCUAAGAACCGGUAUG